CGAUCUCCACUAUCAUGAAAUACCGAGGUAAGUUUUUUUUUUUGAAUUCGUUGUUUUUGCUUAUGAUUUUUUGUUUAUUUUGAUUAAUCGGAAUCGGUUUUUGCUUGAUUUUUAAUAAUUAUUGACUAAUUCUCAACUUCGGUUGUAACACUGAAAAAAUUAUGAAAUUUGUUCUUUUUUCUUCUUAAAUUUGUUAUUUACUGCACAGAAUUAUUAACUUAGUGUCAUUUGAUAUAGAUUUUUAUAAAUUGACAUUUUAAUAAUUUCCAUUAUAUAAAUUUUGAUAUAUUUAUGAUUUGUGUUGUGUUCAUGAUAUUUUUUUUUUGAAAUAAUCAUAUUAAACAAUAAUCAUAGUAUCAUCUUCCCCAUAUAUAAAAUUUUAGAAAAAAAAAUGCUUAUUUAGACAAAUACCUGUAUUUACCAUCAUCUCUGAUUCCGAGUAUAAUAUUUUGCCUAUUUUUUCAUCAAUAUUAUGUGGAUGCAAAUUCUCAGAAGUUUCGAAUAGCUAUGUUACUCGUGUAAGUCUUAGAUGUAGUUAUGUGUUCAACACUGGUAUAUUCAAAAUUUUUCGAGGUUUUUCAUUUAUUUGAAAGGUUCUUAGAAGUUCAUCUCUUCGUGCCAGAAUUCAAAAAUCCAACUUAAAUAGUUAUUUUAAGAAGAAUAAAGAGUUGAAAGAACAUAGUUAUGGACUAAGGGUCUAAGAUGUUGAAUGUUUAGACUUGUGGCUACUGCCUGCUACCAGACGAUGGAUCCGUUGCUUGUUUUUCGGUCAUUAACUUGUUUGUAUUUCUUCUUUUAGGAAGGAUACAUCAGGAACUUUGAGCUUUUCGAUCCGCAUAGAGUUGGGAAGAUCACAGUUGAACUACAAGGCAGGGUAAACGAUUGCCGAGUACUCACUUACCGGCAGGACAUCAAAGUGAAGGAUAUCCAGAAGUACACAACAUUUAAACUUCCAACUCGGCAGGUAUGUUCAUUCAUUGCCUAUUAUAUAGAAGGUGCUGGCCGGCUUGGUAUAGGAUAUGCAAAUGUACCUGGUUAUGUCUACUGAAUUCUUCCCAAACUUAUGUUGUUUUUCGAUAAUCUUUAUCCUGUGCAGUGGGGUCAUGUUGUGAUUUCAACUCCUGAUGGUAUUUUGGAUCAUGAAGAAGCCAUUAGAAGGAAUGUGGGUGGGCAGGUUAUUGGUUAUUUUCAUUAGACUUCAUUUUUUAUGCGCACUUUCAGAUAGAAAAAGGGGAAGAAUAGUUGUUCAGGGUCAGGUUUAUCCAAUAACUAUCUGAAGUUUUCAUUGAAUAUCGAUCACUAGAACAUAACAUAAGCAAUGUUCAGAAUCAUUUUUUUUAAUAACAAUCUAGUAUUCUUUAUUGUGAUGCUUUGAUUUAUUAUUGCAAGAUCAUAGUAAUGAUACUGCAGGAUAGUUUUCUUAGAAGCUAAGAAAUCAUCAACGAAUUCGCCUGCAGAUGGUCAACCCAUCACCCGACGGAGUGAGAGCAAUUUCGAUGCGUUGAUCGAUUGAAACCGAGUUGUUAAACUCUAUGAUUGACCUCCUUGAUUCCUUUCUAUCUUCUGAAACCGCCUCUUCGGGUUGAGCCACCGUGCCUCCCCAAAGCGUGUUGUCAAAGACGAUUAAUCCGCCAACUUUCACCAGUUUCAGAAGCCUCUCGUGGUAAUUCAGGUAAUUUUCUUUAUCCGCAUCGACAAAUGCAAAGUCAAAAAUCCCUUCAUUAUCUUUCUGCUGAAACGAAACAUAUGAAGAUGAGUUCAAUUGAUUGAACUUGAAGAAUCCGUAAAAAAAAAAACAGAAAUGGAGAUAAACCAGGGUAUUUAGUGCUUAAAUUUUGAAGAAGCUUGUCCAGAACUGGUAAAGCUUGGGAUUCAAUGAAGUUGAUUUUGUGUUCCACACCUGCUUUUUGGAUAAUGGGAAGGCCUAUCUCAUAUGUUUCCUUGUUUGGAUCUAUGGCUAUUAUCUGAAAAUAUGAGUUUAAUGAACAAAAAGUAGAUUAUGGUAAAUAAACUUGAGAAAUAUUUCAACUUUUGGUCUAUGUAUAUAUAUGUUUGUGUAUGUGUGUGUUUUGAGGGAAUAAAGCCUUUUUUGGGAGAAGUUUGCUUAAUGUCAUCCAUUCAUUCAGAGCCAGCAGAACCCUCAGCAUGUUUCGUAUGUCUUUGGUGGGGGUUUUAUAUCAUGACUCUACUGAGAGCUCUGAUGUUUGAAGAGAUGCUAGUGAUAGGUUCAGAGAGCAAAAGUUCCUUGUUGGAUGCUUCUUUAGGUACUCAAGCUCUCGAUAUAGUUGGGAGACAAAACUUACCAUUGAGGACAAUAUUGACCCAUUGAGGAGUCUGUUGGGAGUUUGAUAUUUCUAAAGAGAACAUUUUAAUGAAUUAUAUUUUGAAAAUGAAAUUAUUUUAUUUUAAACAGUUUUCACUUAUUGAAAAAUAUUUUUAUAUCAUUAAAAAAUCAAUAAAAUUUAUCUUUGGUUCGUUUCGAAAAAUCAUUAAUAUUUUUUUAUAACUUAUGAAUCGAUAACCGAUGGGAAUAAAUACCAUGGCAUCAUGAGGGAUUGAAAGAGCAGUGAGGAGAAGAGAAUAGCCAGUGUAAACACCAAUUUCAAUCGUCUUCUUUGCAUUAAUUAGCUUAAGUAACAUCCCCAUUAUUUGACCUGAAUCUGGUGCUGUGCUCAUUAAAUUCCUGCUUAAAUCGAGUUAGAAGAGAGUAAUCGGUCCGUUGAAUUAAAAAAUCAAUUUGAUCGAUAAAUUUUACAUUUUAAUCUAUUAAUUGAUUGGUUUAAGUAAUCGAAUUAACAUCAAUCAAACUUUGGUUGACGUUAAAUCGAUUUUGUUUUUCAUUUGUCACAAAUUAAAUGAAGCCAAGGACACUUUUACCAUGGAUGCUUUGCAGUAACUUCUCGGAGCUCCUUUAGAGGUGAUGGUUCCCUAGGGUAGACGUUGGUCUUCAAGAUAUACUGUUUCAAAACUUGUCCAGUUAAAAAAACAAUUCCGAACGAUGAUCUAUAUUUUGUUUGAAUUAUUCAUUUCAUAUUAAAUUUAUGAUUUUUUUAAAUUAAAAAAAACCUUAAAAUUUUAUUAUCUAGGGAAGUUGACUCUUUCAGAAAAAGUUCAUAAAAUGGCGUUCUUUCAAAAUUGUUGGACCUUUCAAUAAGUUUGCAUUGUCUUGGUCUUAGUUUUGUCGCCCAAUUCUAAAAAGAACUCGAGUGCUUGAGGCAAUGAGUUCAACCAAAUAGGAAUACCUUGUCAAGACAGAUCUUGCUUGACAUUUAUACUUGGAAGGAUUUGAGCUUCCGCUCUGCAGCAUAUAAGGUUCGUGCAUGUCACAAUGCUCAAAAUAAUUCUAAACUCUGAUAGGAAGCAUGGUUGUCUAUAAAUGUCUUAUAUGCUGUAAGAGACAAACUCGAUCAAAGACAACAUUGACUCAUUAAAAGUUUAUCAGCUUUGGACGAACGAAGCAUAUUUCUUUCAUGAAAGUCAACCGUCCCUUCACGUUUAUAUAAUUCAGUUUCAAUUUUUCCUUCUAAAUUUUAUUAUAUAUGUUGAGAUAUGUACAUUUAAUCUAUACAUUUAUUUUAAAGUUAAAAUUAAUAAUACAUAUUUUAAUAAAAAUAUUUAUUAUAUAUAAAAAAUUAAUUGAUCGAUUUAAUCCGCUAAUUAAAGGUAUUGCUAAUAGCCUCCAAUUCAAUUAUUUAAACCUUACAAAAACUUAAUUAUAUUUUCGUUAUUUAGGAGAUUCAAAUUCCGUUAUGUAUAAUUUCUAUCUCUAAAUUACAAUAUAUUUAGUAAAAGGGAAAAAAUAAUGAAAAAUAAAAUACCUUAGUUAACUCAAAACUCUGCAACAACCCGUUAUGGAGAAAUGGUUCGGCUGUUGUAAAUUCCAUACUUUUCAAAUAUAUGCUUGAGAAACAAAUAAUGCAAAGCCCGGUUGAAAUAUAUAUGUAUAUAUAUAUAUGUAUAUAUAUAUUAUGAAUUAAGUUCACACCAAGUUGAUGAUGUCUUUUAAUAAUCCAUAUUAGUCGUGUACUACUGUAUGAUUUAAAUGAUAUAAUUUAAUCCUUAAAUUUGAUAAUUUUUUUAAUUUCGAUUUAUAUGAUGACUGUCAUAUUAUAAGAUUGUACCACAUUAUAAUUAAAUUUUAAAACAAGGUUAUACUCUUUUAGAUGAUGGUGUGGCACAGUAUGAUAUUAGGUAAAAAUUUUGAGAAAAACUACUAAGUUUCUCGAUUAACAUGGGUAAAAAAGAAUCAAUGACUAAAUUAGGUAAAUAUGCCACAUUCUGGAAUAAAAUAUUAUUUUAUUUGGACUUAAAUUAUUAAAUGUAUCAAAAUUUUAAUCUUUGAAUUUGACUUUAAUAUUUAAUUUGAUACCUGAUGCCAUUUGAUUAGGAUAUCGAAUCAAAUAAAAUAUAUACCCUAAUUUUAAAUGGAAAUAUGAAUUAUGAAGCUAAAUUUAUUUAUUAUUUACUAAACGUUUCGUAUUUGUAUUGUGUCGAAAUUUAUUAGGAAUUCCAGGAACUCACGAACUUUAAAUUCUGCUUAAUUAUUUAAUUAAUCAAGCAAAAAAAAAUUAUUUUACAAAUUAGAGAGAUGUUUUAUUUUUUUUUCAUUUUAAAUAAGAAAUUUCACUGACCAUAGAUAAAAUAAUUUAUAUUUGAAGUUUAUACAGAAAAAAAAAAAGGGAUCACAACAUCCAGAUCAUCCUCACAAGACAAUAAUACAAAAGCUACAACAUAAUCCAACAGCAGCCUCCAAGUGAAUACAUAAUCAUGUUAUUGUUAAGUUAAUCCUUCGGCUCCGGCACUCACCGAAACAUAUAAAACGGUGACUCCCGGUCGAUCAAUGCUCGGGCCAACCUGCCUCGACCUAUUGGUGCUGCCAACACCUUCCAUUUCCCUUGACUAGUCUCCGGCAGGACGAACGAUUGCGGGUUGGUGCUCCACAAAUGGAUGUACCCGUACUGUCAUUGUUCGAGUUUCGCGGAGUAAAAUCAUUGCUGCUGCUGCUGCGGCAGCCACUAUAUUUUAAGUGCUGCCAACACCUUCCAUUUACAUUACCUGUUCUCUUGCAGGGAGUACCAUUGCAGGUAGGUCGAAAGCAUGGGAUGGUCCGAAAACAAGAGUGGGAAUCGUCAUCCCUGUAUGAUUUUCAUAAAAGACUGAAGCUUUUUCAUCAGAAUAUGAAUUGAAAACAGCAUAUGGCAUUGUUUGAUAUCUUGUUAUCACGGAAUCGGAGCUAUAAAUUCUCCUCCCUUUAUGCAAAUCACAUCUUUUUCUCCCGGGAACAGGUUGCCUUCUACAAACAGAACCAUCAUCCAUGGCAACCCCACAAAUAGGGCUACAAUGCUCGAUUUCAGGAUAGUCCUCUUUAUGCGGUUGUGAUUUCAUACUCGACCUUGUGGAAGACCCUGUAGUUUUCUUUCCCUUGUGUUCAGAGCAUCGUUUUCUUCCUUCAACCGGUGGCCUUUUAGAAAUCGAACCAUCGUCUAAAACCACCCCACAAGAGAAGGUUUCGUUCUCGUCGGAGCCACCGUGAUUCAAAACCAACCGAGGCCGGGAUCUGCUGAAGUUGAAAACUUGAAGCAAAAAGUUGUGGUUCUCUCCAUUUUUGUAUUUGCCAAACUCAUUGUCGUCCGAAACUAGCUUGCUUGCUUUGAUUUUGAUGCCUACUUGCUUUUGAAGGGAGGGCAGAUGCUUUUUGGAGAAAUUGGCUAAUUUCGUAAGAUUUGAUGCACGCUUAUCUAGUUUUUCAAGGAUAUCAUCGUGACGACGUACACCGUUCGAGCCUUUAUUCCAUGCAUAAUCGUAAGUACGGAGAAGCUCAUCUUCAGUUCUCCGAGCAUCUGCCUUGUUUUCCAUCUAUUUAACAUGGGAAAGUAAAAUAACAUUAGGAAUUAGAUUAAAAACCAAAUUUUGGAUGCAAGGAUGAACAUGUAAUAAGAACAUUGAUGAAAAAGUGCAUUUUCACAGCUUGGCCUUCAAAAACCAUAUCAUCUGCAAUUCAUUCAAGACUAAGAGCUCAUAACAGUAUAAAGAAUAUAUAUAUAUAUAUAUCAAGCUAAGCAAUAAAAAUCGAAAAUCUAAAAACCAAUGCAAACCAAAAUGUUUAAACGAUUUAUAAAAUAUAAAUUAAAAAAUCACAGUUAUAACAACAGUUAUUUAAUUUACAAUUAAUUUUAAUUUUAAAUAUUUUAUAUUUAAAUAAUAAAAUAAUUUAAAAACUUUAUAAACUUCAUGUAACUAUUAUUGAUUAUUUUUAUUUACUUAAUUUAAAAAGUUAUUUAUGAAACACUUUUUUGAAAUUCUAUAAAAUAAUGUCCAAAUGCAAUAAAACAAAGCUUGCCAAAAUAAAUCCAAAAAAUAAAAAUAAAAAAUCAAAUAUUUAAAAAAUUUAGGAAAAAAUUUCGACUAAAUCAAACUCGAUACUACAUAGAGAUAUAUAUACAUGGUUUUUGAAACUGAUCAAACUGGAUCCAAGUUCGAUUUAAUAAAUUAUUUUAAAAAUUAUAAAAGUUAAAAAAUAUUAAAAAUAUAAAAUAAAUUCUAACCCUCCAUUCAACUGAUUUUUAUCUCGACUGAGUAAAACCGAAACCUCUUUUUCCGAGCUGAUUUUCAAUCUUACCGGGUAAUCCUGUACAGUUCCAACAAACGAUACCAAUAAAGCUGGAAAGUAGAAAAACAUAUACUCACAGGAGCCCAUCUGUAGGUAAUAGAGUAACCCCUUGCAAAAAUAUCAAACAAAGGACAUCCAUUUUCACCAAAUCCAUUUUUUCCACAGAGAUGAGUACCAUCACGGCCAUGUUGUUGGAGUCUUGCUCUUAUAUUUUCAGCCUUCCCAAGAUAAACCACCAAAUCAGGUUCAAGCUUGCCAUGGCGGUCCCUACUAGGCAGUUUACACACCGCAAGCUCAUAGAUUCCUGUACCUGAAGAUUUUGGAAGAUUUUCAAGCCUGUAUCUGGUCACCGCUCCUCCUUCCCCAUUUUUCCAGUCAUGAGGACCAACAAGAAGCUAAACAAAUGAAAAAAAACCAAAAAGAAGAUCAGAUUAAGGUUUAUAAAUCAAAUUUAAACUGGGUAUAGAUGAUCUUUUUCAGCAAAAUCAAAAGCAUGAUUAAAGUUGGAUUAAGGCAGAUUAAAAAACCUUCCAUUCGGAGAAGUGGGAAUCGUGGUCGGUCUUCUUGUGAUCUUCUCUGUUCGAUCUGUCGACGUGAACGGCCAAUAAUUGCAUUGGAAUCUCAUCUUCUUCACUAUAAGCACCAUUAUGCAAAUGUCUCUGAUUGCACCACUUUAUGGAAGGGCAUUUCUUAUUUAUAAUAAGGUUGAAAUUGCCUUCUUUCUUUUUAAUUUUAUUUAUUUUUUACUUUAGACUUAAUUCGUUUUAUUUUAUUAUUUUAAUACUUAAAUUUUAAAAUUUUCAAAAUAAGAUUUCACUAUAUUUCAUAAAAAUUUAAAAUUUAAAAUUGUAAUAAAUUUUUAAAAAAUUAUCCAUAUUGUCAAUAAAGUAGGUAUAAAUUAUCAUGACAAUGUCAUUAUUUUUAACAAGUCUAUAUUUAGAUUAAAACAGUUUAACUAAAAUUUAAAAAUUAAUAAUUUUAUUUAAAUACAAAAAAUUUAACUAAAUUUUAAAGAUUAAAUGACAACAAAAAAUUAAUUUAUCAUCUUACCUUUAUGUUUUGUCCAUGCCUUCUCCAUCUUUCCCUUAUCUUACUAGUGAAAUAUUUUAAUCCUUAAUACUUAAGUUACAAGUAGUCUCCCGACAGCCGACAGUCAAUCAUUAAAGUGAUAAAUUAUUUGUACGUUGAUGAUAUGAUAGAUUAAGACUCGUGUCAUGAUGUGAUUCGACGGAGUGAAUUUUAGCGUCCUUCGUAAGCUGCCCUCUUGUAGUCUUGUCUUCUUUUACGUGUGAAAAUGAGUUUUUUUUUCUUAAAUGUAAUAAUUUAUUAUACUCAACAUAUUAAAAAAAAUUAUAUACCGAAAUAAGUUAUUAAAUAGAUUAAUUAUCGAAAUGAUAUAUUUUUUAUAACCGUGCCAAUCUGACAGGAGCAAAUUAAUUUUUAUAUUAAUUUUUUUUAAAAAAAUAUUUUUUAUUUUUAAAUACGGUCAACGGGUCAAAAUACAGGUAAAAAUCGAGUCAUUCCAGUCAAAUAGGUGCGAUUAGUCGCUCCUGACAGGUAGGCGCGGAUGGUCCUGCAUAAAUUUAUCUGUAUAGUUGCUGUUAACUCAUUUUAUUUUUUUAUGUCAACUUGGAUAUCAAUUUGUCCAAGUUUAAUAAUAACUGACUCUUUUUAUAAAUUUAUUGAAGAAUAUAAAUCAAUUAUUAACAUACAAAUACUUAACAGUAAUUUAAAAAAAUUUAAAAAUUUAUAAUAACACAUUAAUAGUCUCAAUUAAAAGCGUUUCCCAAAAUUCAUAAUUAAGAUUCUUAUUUUGAGCAAUAGAAAUAGAGUUUUGGCUAUGUGAAAAAAUAUGGGAUAUGGAUAUUUUUAAAUAAUGUAAUUUUGUAUAAUGUAAUUUUUAUAUAAUGUAAUUUUAUUUGAUUUUUUAUUUAUUUAACAAUUUUUAUUGAUUUAUUAAAAUGUUGAUUAAAUUUGUUGUUAUAUAAUUUUAUAGGUUGUUUGAAAUAAACUACUCGGGUAUGUAUUUAUUUCUAUUUUUAUUUUUUAAUUCGUAUGUUUUUAUGUUUAGAUAGUUUAUAUUAAUUUUAAUUAUAUUAUUAUUGUAAUCUAAUAUAAAUUUUUUAUUUUAGGUAAAUUAUGAGGAAUUAUUAGAUAUUUACCGUGUUUUGUUUCUGAAAUUUGAAAUAAUUUAUUGUAUUUAUUGAAACAAAUUAAAUGAAUUUAUUUUUUUAAUUGCAGAUUUGCAGUAAAUGGGUUCUUUGAAUAAUAAUAAUAAUCACAUAUCAAGUACUAUUAAUGAGAUGGUAAUAAAAUUUUUAUUUGAUACUCAUUUUAUUUGUUGAAUUAAAUUAUAUUGUAUUAACUAUUUUGCUAAUUUAAUAAUGUCAGGGUUCGUAUCGCGUAUUGAGGGGCCGUGUUAAUAGUUUAGGGUUUCUGCCAGAUGAACGCAUAAUACCAUACUUAGAGUUGGUCGGGUUCAGAUCAGCGGCAUUAAUCCAGACUUUUGAUCUGCGAUACGACUUGAUUUCUGCUUUAGUCGAGCGAUAGUGUCCGAAGACCCACACAUUUCAUUUGCCGUGCGGAGAGUGUACUGCCACUCUAGUCGGGGGUAUAUAUAGGGGGAAAUUAAGCAGCAGUGGGUCCCACCAGUCGCGCCUGUCAGAUAGGCUCAACUAGUCGUGCCUCUGAGAUCGGCUCAACUAGUCGCGCCUAUCAAAUAGCCACAACCUGUAUUUCGUAUCUAUACCCAGGUUAUAUACUGAUCCGAGAAAUAAAAAAUUAAUAUUUUUUUUAAAAAAAUUUAAUAUAAAAAAUUAAUUCGCACCUGUCAGAUAGGCGCGAUUAAAAAAGCCAUACCAUUUCGGUAAUUAAUCUAUCUGACAACUUAUUUCGGUAUUUAAUUUUUUUAAUAUAUUUGGGUAAAAAACCCUAUAGAAUACUUGUUAAAUUCUUAACUCUGUCUAUAAAAUUUAAAAAUUCUAUUAUACCAAAUAUUUUCCCUCAUAUUUAUCAUUUAUUAUUUUUUAAUAAUUAUUAAUUUUAUAUAAUUAACGUAAGCAAUCGUACCUAAAAGAUAAGUAAAAUAUUUAAAAUAUUCUAAAAAAAAGUAUUAGUAUAAUGUUUAAAAAAUAAAAAUGUUAUAAAUUAAUAAAGAAACAUUUUUCCAUGUAUUUUUUUAUUAACUUUUUUCCCUAUAUUCUUGGCCUCUUUAAAUAUUAAAUACCAUGAAAAUUAACACUAUAUUACAGAAUACCUUUCUCAAUAUUUUCACUAUGUGAAACAAAAUUUUAUUUUACUUACACUUGCAAUUUGUGGGAAAAAAAAAAAAAAGCAACAAAUAAACGAAUCAAUUAAAGUGGGAAAAUUACCUUAUAAAUGGAGGCUAUUACACAAAGCUCAUCUAACCAAAUAUCAGAAUGGCAAUGCGGCAUCGGAGGACAGGGAGAAUCGUAUUUUAUAUCGCUGUUCAUACGUCGUUGUCAGCUGUUCCCCGAUCGGUCUUUGCUUAGUCAGAAAUUUGUAUAGAUUCGCAUAUCGUAUGAACAGCUUAGCAACUCGAAAAGAACCUGUUCGCUCAAUCGACUUGCUUUUUUGCACUUAUGCACCUGUCCUCCAGAGUCUCCUCCAGAGUAUAAGAACCUCAUCAGCUAAAAGGCUGAAAUUGGCAAAAAAAAUUGGGGUUCAUGUAUUUAUUUUUUCAAUAUCAUGAAUCAUGAGAGCCUUGGACCAUCAAAGUAAUAGGCUUCGCACUGUCCGCCCGAAGACUAUCUCCUUUCAAACCAAUCUGGGAGGAGAAUCAUAUUCAACAUAACCUCAAAAGACUUGUUCCGAUAAAAAUCACGAAACAACAAUUUAAAAACAGAUGAUGCAACCCUCUGUUCGGUGAUUUGCUAUCAGAAGAGUUAUAUGAUUAUUCUACAAAGUUUGUAUUCAAAGGCAGAUUGAUUACCUCAGGACUAUCAGCUGGGAACCACCGUAAUAGUACACCAAGACGAACAACAGCUGGAAUCAGCUUGAAAAGCAAUGGAGUAGUCACCUGCAUGGUAAUUUUAUGAGUAAAAUCUGAACCUUGAGAGCUAACUAUGAAAGAACUUUCAGAAAUUGGCAGUAAAAGUACCAUGAAGGCCACUGUAGUGAGAGUCGGGUUGCAUUUUUUCUCCUCCACCCGGAAAAUGAGCGUUUUUGUACAUUAGAUCAAAGAGUAAAUUAGUCAUUCUAUUAAAAUUCCAUCCAUUUAUAUUAUUAACAAAAAUGACUAAUUUGUUCUUUGAUCUAACAUAUAGAAAUUAAUUUACCUUUUUUUGAGUAAAAGAGGCAAAAUAUAGUUUGACUCGUAAUACAGAACCUCCAUAGUAUUUUUACCUGAUUUUGGCUAAUUACAUUUACCUAAGGAAUUUAAUAGUAAAAGUUUCCAUUCUGAUCGGCUAAAUUGAUUUAUUAUUUACUAAACGUUUCGUAUUUGUAUUGUGUCGAAAUUUAUUAGGAACUUCAGGAACUCACAAACUUUACAUUCUGCUUAAUUAUUUAAUUAAUCAAGCAAAAAAAAUUAUUUUACAAAUUAGAGAGAUGUUUUAUCUUUUUCAUUUUAAAUAAAAAUUUUCACUGACUAUAGAUAAAAUAAUUUAUAUUUGUAGUUUAUACAGAAAAAAAAAAGGAUUCACAACAUCCAGAUCAUCCUCAAAAGACAAUAAUACAAAAGCUACAACAUAAUCCAACAGCAGCCUCCAAGUGAAUACAUAAUCAUGUUAUUGUUAAGUUAAUCCUUCGGCUCCAGAACUCACCGAAACAUAUAAAACGGUGACUCUCGAUCGAUCAAUGCUCGGGCCAACCUGCCUCGACCUAUCGGUGCUGCCAACACCUUCCAUUUCCCUUGACUGGUCUCCGGCAGGACGAACGAUUGCGGGUUGGUGCUCCACAAAUGGAUGUACCCUUACUGUCAUUAUUCGAGUUUCGCGGAGUAAAAUCAUUGCUGCUGCUGCGGCUGCCACUAUAUUUUAAGUGCUGCCAACACCUUCCAUUUCCAUUACCUGUUCUCUUGCAGGGAGUACCAUUGCAGGUAGGUACUCCACAAAUGGGUAGACUACAAUUGCUGCUGUUGAGACUUGAAUUCCAGUCGAAAACAUGGGAUGGACUCGUUUCGUCUAAUCCGGAAACAAGAGUGGUAAUCGUCAUCCCCGUAUGAUUUUCAUAAAAAACUGAAGCUUCUUCAUCAGAAUAUGAAUUGAAAACAGCAUAUGGCAUUGUUUGAAAUCUUGUUAUCUCGGAAUCGGAGCUAUAAAUUCUCCUCCCUUUAUGCAAAUCACAUCUUUUUCUCCCGGAAACGGGUUGCCUUCUACAAAGAGAACCAUCAUCCAUGGCAACCCCACAAAUAGGACUACAAUGCUCGAUUUCGGGAUAGUCCUCUUUAUGCGUUUGUGAUUUCAUACUCAACCUCAUGGAAGACCCUGUAGUUUUCUUUCCCUUGUGUUCAGCGCAUCGUUUUCUUCCUUCAACCGGCGGCCUUUUACAAAUCGAACCAUCAUCUAAAACCACCCCACAAGAGAAGGUUUCGUUCUCGUUGGAGCCACCGUGAUUCGAAACCAACCGAGGCCGGGAUCUGCUGAAGUUGAAAACUAGAAGCAAAAAGUUGUGGUUCUCUCCAUUUUUGUAUUUGCCAAACUCAUUGUCGUCCGAAACUAGCUUGCUUGCUUUGAUUUUGAUGCCUACUUGCUUUUGAAGGAAUGGCAGAUGUUUUUUGGAGAAAUUGGCUAAUUUCAUAAGAUUUGAUGCAUGCUUAUCUAGUUUUUGAAGGAUAUCAUCGUGACGACGUACACCGUUUGAGCCUUUAUUCCAUGCAUAAUCAAAAGUAGUGAGAAGCUGAGCUUCAGUUCUCCGAGCAUCUGCCUUGUUUUCCAUCUAUUUAACAUGGGAAAGUAAAAUAACAUUAGGAAUUAGAUUAAAAACCAAAUUUUGGAUACAAGGAUGAACAUGUAAUAAGAACAUUGAUGAAAAAGUGCAUUUUCAAAGCUUCUUGGCCUUCAAAAACCAUAUCAUCUGCAAUUCAUUCAAGACUAAGAGCUUAUAACAGUAUGAAGAAUAUAUAUAUAUUAGUUCACCAUUUGUGAAAUUGGCCUUAACACGUAUAGGCUUUCAUUGUUAUGUUCCUUGGACUCUUAAUUUUUCUUGAAGUAUCCGACACUCUUGUCUAACACAUGGAUAUGGGGAUAUGACCUCCAAAGAUCCUCCAAAUACAUGAAAAAACAUUAAAAAGACUAAUCAUAUUCGUGAGGGAUACAUAUCCAUAUCUGACAAUCACACCCGAGUCCGAGUAACAUAGGUUCUUGGAACACAUUUUUCCCUAUGAUUCUUACCAUUUUCACCCUCCUAAGCAUAAACAUUAACAGUUAUUAAGUGCUUAAAUAAUACAACUAAUCAAUUAAAGCCAGUAAAGGGCCGUUGUAGCAUAAUCAGCAAACAUUAGGAAAGCUUCAAAAUCUUAUAUAUAUGAACUAGAAGAUCAAACAUCACCAGAACUCCUUCACUAUGUAUGAUACUAAUCAAAUUACAAUUUCAUUUCAAAUUUUAAACUUUCUCAAAUUUCCGUUCAAACUUUCAUAUGAUACUAAUCAAGUUAAAAAAUUAGCCAAAAAACUUCAAAAUAUUAUAUAUUAUGUGUGUGUGUAUAUAUAUAUAUAUGAACUAGAAGAUCAAUAAAACAUCACUAGCACUUCAUCACUAUGCAUGAAUUAUGAACUUAACCAUUGUUAUAUUUUACUACUAAAAUCUACACCUGAACCUCAUAUAAAUUACAGUUUUAUUCCAAGUUCAAAACUUCUCAAAUAGGUUCCAUUCAAACUCUCAUAUGAUAUCAAUCAAGUUAAAUUUAGCAAAAGAAACAUCAAAAUAUUAUAUAUAUAUAUAUAUAUGAACUAGUAGAUCAAUAAAAACAUCACUAUCACUCCACUAAGUAUGAAUUAUGACUGCUAAAAUCUACAUUUGAUAUAAUUUACAGAUUCAUUUCAAAUUCAAAACUUCUUAAAUAGGCUCCAUUCAAACUCUUAUAUGAUACCAAUCAAGUUAAAAUUAGCAAAAGAAACUCCAAAAUAUUAUCAAGUCAAAAUUUAACCAGAACUCCUUCACUAUGCAUGAACUAUGAACUUACCAUUGUUAUGGUUUACUACUAAAAUCUACACCUGAUAUAAAUUACAGUUUAAUUUCAAAUUCAAAACUUCUCAAAUAGUUUCCUUUCACUAAUAUAAUGCCAAUCAAGUUGAAAUUAACAAAAAAUUUGAAAACAAAAAGUACUCACAGGAGCCCAUCUGUAAACAAUCGAGUAGCCUCUAGCAAAAAUGUCCUCAAAGCAGCCACAUACUUUAUUAUCCCCCGAGUCAUUUCUACCCAAAUGAGCACCUGUACGGCCAUAUUGUUGUAGCCUUGACCUGACAUUAUCAGCCUCCCCAAGAUAAACCACCAAAACCUUGUCUGAGUCAAGCUUGCCAUUAUGGUCCUUGCUCGAAGGUUUAUUUAUAGCAAGCUCAUAAAGACCUGAGCUUGCAGUUUUGGGGAGAUUUUCAACCCUGUAUCUAGCCACUCCUUCUUUCCCCACUGAAUGGUCUUCCCAAUCAUGAGGACCAAUUAGAACCUAAUUAAAUGACAAAGAAAAGGACCCAGAUGAGAUUAAGGUUCAUAAAUCGAAUAUAAAAACUGGGUUUACAUAAUUUUUUAUCAAAAUCGAUGAGAAAUGGGAUAGGGAUUCAUUUUUUUGCUUUAAAAAAAGCCUGUUGUCAAUGGAUGAUUGAAUUAAGAGGAGAAAAACUGAGAAGAAUUUAUGGAAUUUGAAUGGGAGCACCUUCCAUUUGGAGAACUGAGAGUCGUGCUUGGUUCGUUUGUGAUCUUCACGGUUGAAUCUGGUGACCACAUCGGCCAAUUUAGCCGCUCCCAUUGGGAUUGGAUCUUCCUUGUGGGAAAGAACCGUUGUAUUUGUUUGCGCCACUUUAUAACGGGCGUUUUUUUUCAUUAUAAUAUUGCCCUAGUUGCAUUUUUUGUUUUUGGAACUUACUUUAUUAGUAAAAUAUUUGGAUUUUUUUUUCUUUUAGGAAUAAAAUAUUUGAAUUAUUAAUAAUGUGUUUUAAACCGAAUUAGUGGUCCAACCGGUUGAGCUAUUGGUUCAUCGAUUUAAUUGGUCCGAUCGAUCCAACUAGUUCAAUUAAAAAAUUAAAAUUGAUUCAACCGAUUUGAUUGUCGAUUCAACCAGUUUUUAGCCAGUUUAAUUGCUUUGUACCGAUUCUUAACCUAACUAGUUCAAAGCCAAUUUUUGGAUUGAUUCGUAAUUCAAUCGGUUCAAUCGAUUGGUCUGGUCCGAUUCAAACAAUACUAAUUCUUAAGACUUAAGAUACUAUAUUUUAUAUUCUCAAAAAAAUAUUUCUUUUAUUUUUUUAAGAAUGGUUUUUAAAAAUAGAAAAAAUGGUUUAAUCGUCUGAUUCCUAAGUCAACUUGUCUAAUAGAUUUCUCCAGAUCAGUAUCCUUACCAAUUUCGAGCUAACUAGUCUAAUUCAAAUUUUUAUAAUUUUUUUAAUAAUUUUUAUAAGUUUAUAUCAAUUUUAAUAUUUUUUUCAUAAUUUUUAUUAUUUUUAAAGUAAUAUGUUUUUUAAUUUAAAUAUUGUAAAUAAUUUUUAUUAAUUUUAUAAUUUAUUAUAUUUUUAUAAUAUUUAUAAGUUUUUAUAAAAAGAAAUUAUAAUUUUAAUAACUUUACAUCAAUUUUAAUAUUUAAUAUUUUUUAUAAUUUGUUUUGAAUUAUUUUAUUUUAUUUAUAAUUUUUCUGAUUUUUAAUAUUUUUAUGAGAAAAUAUUAGAUUAAACCAAAAGAUAUCACGUGCCACUAUUUAAUUGGUUUGUCAAUUUAUUUUAAUGAUCAACAUGAUCAAUAAUGAAAUCCGUUAACCGGGAAUUGAUUAAUUGUUUUAGUUAACAUCAAGGGCUUAAUUAGAUGCGAAUUUAAUACAUAGACUUAAUUGAUCUUUUUUGUAUUUUCUUAAGGACUUUUUGACAUAUAAACCUAUUAUAUUAUAUUAUAUUAUAUUAUAUUAUAUUAUAUUAUAUUAUAUUAUAACUUGUGACAUAAUUGUAUAGCAUUUAAAAUUAUCAUUUUUUUUGUAGAAUGAUUGUUGAACAUAACAAAAUCAAUAAAAAACUUUAUUUUAAUCAAAAUUUAUUUUUGUAAUUUGCACAUAAUAUUCACAACAAUCACACAUCCAAACACAAAAGCUACAAUGUAAAUCCACCUCUAGCCUAAGCUAAUAGACAAUUAUGCUAUUGAUAACUUAAUCCUUUCGUUCGGACAAUCACCGGAGCAGACGAAAGGGUAACUCUCGAUCCACAAAUGCUCUGACCGGCCGACCUUGAUUGAUCAAUGCUACCAAUAUCUUCCAUUUCCCCUAACAGUCAUCCGGUUAAAAGAACCAUUGCGGGUCAUAGUUGAAAGUACCGCAAGUAAAAUAACCGCUGCUGCUGCUGCUGCUACUGCUGCUGCUGCUGCUGCUAUAAUCCAAGUGUUGCCAACACCUUCCAUUUCCACUAACCGGUCUCUCGCAAGGAGCACCAUUGUCGGUGGUUGCUCCACAAAUUAAUAUAAUAUCAUCACCACCAUGGUCCAACCACCGCGGAGUAAAACUGCUGUCAUAGUCGCCAUAAUUUAAGUUCCGUGAAGUAAAAUAACUACUACUGCGACCAUAAUUCGAAUGUUGCCAACAUCUUCCAUAUCCACUAACUGGUCUCUCACAAGGAGCAGCAUCGGAAGUGGGUGCUCCACAAAUGGAUGUAAUAUCACCACCACCACCGUGGUCCAACCAUCGUGGAGUAAAACUGCUACCGCCGUCCUCGCCAUAAUUUAAGUGCCUCCGGCAUCUUCCAUUUACUUGCUUGUUUGAUUUGAUUUUGAUGGGCACAUGUCUUUAGUUGGAACUACUACUGCUACCAUAAUUCGAAUGUUGCCAACAUCUUCCAUUUCCACUAACCGGUCUCUCACAAGGAGCACCAUCGGAAGUGGCUGCUCCACAAAUGUAUGUAAUAUCACCACCACCACCACGGUGAUCUAAGUGCCGCCGGCAUCUUCCAUUUACUUGCUUGUUUGAUUUGAUUUUGAUGGGCAAAUGUCUUUUGUUGGAUACAUGUUUAUCUAGUUUCCGAAGGAUAUCAUUGGAGCGACGUGCGCCAUUAGAACCUAUAUUCCAUGCAUAAUCGUAUUUUUCAAGAAGUCGAGCUUCAGUUCUUUGAGCUGCUGCCUUACUUUUCAUCUAUUUCACAAAGAAAAUAAAAAUGGUGUUUGGAAGUACAAGGAUAGUCACUAAAUUCCACAAUUUUAUCUCUAAACUUUUUCUUUUUGAGUCCAUACUAAUUCUAUAAUUUAGUAGCGCUCUUAAGCUAAGCAAUAAAAAUAAAAAAUGUAAAAAUCAAUCCAAACCGAAAUGUUUAAACGAUUUAUAAAAUAUAAAUUAAAAAUCAUAGUUAUAACAACGGUUAUUUAAUUUAUAAUUAAUUUUAAUUUUUUAUUAUUCAAAAAUAAAUAUUUUAUAUUUAAAUAAUAGAAUAAUUUAAAAACUUUAUAAACAUCAUGCAAGUAUUAUUGAUUAUUUUUAUUUACUUAAUUUAAAAAGUUAUUUAUGGAAUACUUUUUUGAAAUUCUAUCAAAUAAUGUCCAAAUGCAAUAAAACAAAGCUUGCCAAAAUAAAUCUAAAAAAUAAAAAUAAAAAAUUAAUAUGAAAAAUAAAAAAUCAAAUCUAGUUAACAUAGUUAUUUAAAAAGUUUUAGGAAAAAAAUUCGACUAAAUCAAACUCGAUACUACAUAGAGAUAUAUAUACAUGGUUUUUGACCUAGUUUUUGAAACUGGUCAAACUCGAUCCAAGUUCAAUUCAAUAAAUUAUUUUAAAAAUUAUAAAAAUUGAAAAAAUAUUAAAAAAUAUAAAAUUAAUUCAACCAUCAAUUCAGAGUAAAACCGAAGCCUCUUUUUCCGAACUGAUUUUCAAUCUUACAACAACCGACACCAAUAAAGUUAGAAAGUAGAAAAACAUAAACUCACAGAAGCCCAUCUGUAGAUAAUAGAGCAACCCCUCGCAAAAAUUGGAUCAAACAAAAGACAUUUUUUUUCCCGAAAUCCAUUUUGUCUACAGAGAUGAGUACCAUUACGGCCAUAUUGUUGGAGUCUUACUCUUAUAUUUUCAGCCUCCCCAACAUAAACCACCAAACCAGGUUCAAGCUUGCCAUGGCGGUCCCUACUCGGCAGUUUACACACCGCAAGCUCAUAGGUUCCUGGACCUAAACUUUGUGGAAGAUUUUCAAGCCUGUAUCUGGUCACCGCUCCACCUUUCCCAUUUUUCCAGCCAUGAGGACAAAUAAGAAGCUAAACAAAUGAAAAGAAACCAAAAAGACCAAGAUCAGAUUAAGGUUUAUAAAUCAAAUUUAAACUGGGUAUAGAUGAUCUUUUUCAGCAAAAUCAAAAGCAUGAUUAAGAGUUGGAUUAAGGCAGAUUAAAAAACCUUCCAUUCGGAGAAGUAGGAAUCGUGGUCGGUCUUCUUGUGAUCUUCUCUGUUCGACCUGUCGACGUGAACGGGAAUCCCAUCUUCUACGACUAUAAGCACCAUUAUGCAAAUGUCUCUGAUUGCACCACUUUAUGAAAGGGCAUUUCUUAUUUAUAAUAAGGUUGAAAUUGCCUUCUUUCUUUUUAUUUUUUAUUUUUAUUUUUACUUUAGACUCAAUUCGUUUUAUUUUAUUAUUUUAUAAAAAUUUAAAAUUUAAAAUUUUAAUAAAUUUUAGAAAAAUUAUCCAUAUUAUUAAUAAGGCAUGUAUAAAUUGCCAUGACAAUGUUAUUAUUUUUAACAACUCUAUAUUUAAAAUAUUAAUAAUUUUAUUUAAAUAAAAAAAGUUUAACUAAAUCUUAAAGAUUAAAUGACAAUAAAAAACUUUAGAAACUAAAUUUAUCAUCUUACCUUUAUGUUUUGUCCAUGCCUUCCCCAUCUUUCCCUCAUCUUACUAGUGAAAUAUUUUAAUCCUUAAGUUACAAGUAACCGACAAAAUUAUUUGUACGUUGAUGAUAUGAUAGAUCUAAGACUCGUGUCAUGAUGUGAUUCAAUCGAGUGAAUUUUAGCGUCCUUCGUAAGCUGUCCUUUUGCAGUCUUGUCUUCUUUUACGUGUGAAAAUGAGUUUUUUUCUUCUUAAAUGUAAUAAUUUAUUAUACUCUAUAAAAUGGGUCUUUUAUAAAAAUAUUACAAAAAAAAUUAAAAUAAUAUUAAUUUUUUUAUUUAUCAAAAUAAUACAAAAAACAAAAAAAUAAAAAAAAGCUAUUGGAGGAUGUGACAGCACCUUGGUGGACCUUAUAAUGGGAGGACCAUUCGGCUGUGGGUGGAGAAGAAAAGGAGAGGCAAAGGAGAAGAAAAAAAGAAAGAAAAAGAAAGAAAGAAAAGGAAAGGAGAAAAAAGAAAGAGAAAAAGAAGAAAAUGUAAUUUUUUGUAAUAUUUGUGUAAAAAAUUUAUGUUAUGUAUAUUGUAUGUGUUUUAUUAUUUUAUUUAGCAUAUAUAUUUUAUGAAAUUUAUUUAGCAUGAAAAAAUUCAUUUUAUGUACAUUUUAUGUUAAUUAGAAUUUUUUUAUGAAAUUUAUUUAGCAUGUUGUAAUUAGUUUUUUUACAAAAAUAACAUUAAAAAUAAAAUGAUAAAAAAUAUGUUUAAGAAAACAUAAAAUACUAAAAGAAAAAAACGGAAAUUGUAUAUUCACCGAAAGUAAGAAAAUCCGAAAAAAAUUGUAUAUUUAAAAAACACACUAAAUUAAUAAAUUUCAAACAUAAUGUACUAAAAUAAUGUAAAAUUAGAAAAUUAGAAAAUAGUAUAUUUUUUAAAGUAAUAAAAUGUAGAGAAAAUAAUACGAACAAAAUGCCAAAGUAAGGGUUUUUUACUAAAUUUUAAAAAAAAAGAAUUAAUUAAUACAUUUCAAACAUAAUGUACUAAAAUAAUGUAAAAUAAUAAAAUACGAAAAUAAUAUAUUUUUAUUGAAAGUAAUAAAAUUUGGGAAAAAAUACGAGUAAAUGGCAGAAAUGAGGUUUUUGUUUUAAAUUUAUUUAAAAACACACUAAAUUAAUAAAUUUCAAACAGUGUGUACUAAAAUAAUGUAAAAUAAUAAAAUUAGAAAAUAGUAUUUUUUAAAUAAUAAAAUUCGGAAAAAAAAUAUGAACAAAGGGCCGAAAUAAUGGUUUUUUACUAAAUUUUUUUUUGAAGUUGCAGGCAUCGCAAUGACUUCAUUGAUUAAUAGCGAUACAUACAUAUCUGAUGCGGCUAAUAACAUGGUAAUAUAUUAUUAUUUGUUAAUCACGGGUUCUAUUAAAAAAUGAUAUAUGUAAUAUAUAGAAAUAAAUCAUAUUAUCCUAAUAUUUUUCUGUAAUUUAACACUAUCAGGGCUCGUACCGAGUAAUAAGGGGCCGGGUGAAUGGUUUAAAGUAUCCCCGGAUACUUAGGGUUUUUACUAAUAAUAAUAACUAACCAUAAUAAUAAUAUUAGUUUUUUACUAACAAUAAUUAUUAAUAACUAAACCCUAAAAACUAACAAUAAUAAUACUAACUAGAACCAUCAAUUUGAGUUUUUAUUAAUCUUAAUAACUAUCAAUAAUAACUAAACUAACAACAAAAAAACAUAAUAACAAGAUAAUCCAUUAUUUUUUUUUAAAAUACCUUAUUUUUUUUCUUCUCUUUCUCUCUUUUUUCCGGCACCACCUUCUUCUUCUUAUUCUCCUUCAACUAGAUGGAUACUGGACUUAUAAUACAAGUGGUGCCGUCUCUGCCACAGGUAUCUUUGGUGCCGCAUGUGGCAUCCCAUUUUCUACUGUUUUUUUGUAUUAUUUUGGUAAAUAAAAAAAUUAAUAUUAUUUUAGUAUUUUUUUAUUUUUGUAAUAUUUUUGUAAAAGACCCCUAUAAAAUACUUAUUAAAUUCUUAACUCUGUCUAUAAAAUUUAAAAAUUCUAUUAUACCAAAUAUUUUCUCUCAUGUUUAUUAUUUUUUUAAUAUUUUUUUAAUUUUAUAUAAUUAACGUAAACAAUCAUACCCAAAAGCUAAGUAAAAUAUAUAAAAUAUUCUAAAAAAAGUAUUCGUAUAAUGUUUAAAAAAUAAAAAUGUUACAAAUUAAUAAACAAACAUUUUUCCAUGUAUUUUUUUAUUAAAUUUUUUCUUGUUUAUACCAAAUAUUUUCCCUCAUGUUUAUUAUUUUUUUUAAUUUUAUAUAAUUAACGUAAACAAUCAUACCCAAAAGCUAAGUAAAAUAUAUAAAAUAUUCCUAUAUUCUUGGCCUCUUUAAAUAUUAAAUACCAUGAAAAUUAACACUAUAUUACAAAAUACCUUUCUCAAUAUUUUCACUACGUGAAACAAAAUUUUAUUUACUUACACUUGCAAUUUGUGGGGGCAAAAAAAAGAACCUGUUCGCUCAAUCGACUUGCUUAGUCAGAAAAUUUGUAUAGAUUCGCAUAUCGAAUGAACAGCUUAGCAACUCGAAAAGAACCUGUUCGCUCAAUCGACUUGCUUUUUUGCACGUUUAUGCACCUGUCCUCCAGAGUAUAAGAACCUCAUCAGCUAAAAGGCUGAAAUUGGCAAAAAAAAUUGGGGUUCAUGUAUUUAUUUUUUUAAUAUCAUGAAUCAUGAGAACCUUGGACCAUCAAAGUAAUACGCUUCGCGCUGUCCGCCCGAAGACUCGAAGACUAUCUCCUUUCAAACCAAUCUGGGAGGAGAAUCAUAUUCAACAUAACCUCAAAAGACUUGUUCCGACAAAAAUUUCGAAACAACAAUUUAAAAACAGAUGAUGCAACCCUCUGUUCGGUGAUUUGCUAUCAGAAGAGUUAUAUGAUUAUUCUACAAAGUUUGUAUUCAAAGGCAGAUUGAUUACCUCAGGACUAUCAGCUGGGAACCACCGUAAUAGUACACCAAGACAAACAACAGCUGGAAUCAGCUUGAAAAGCAAUGGAGUAGUCACCUGCAUGGUAAUUUUAUGAGUAAAAUCUGAACCUUGAGAGCUAACUAUGAAAGAACUUUAAGAAAUUGGCAGUAAAAGUACCAUGAAAGCCCCUGUAGUGGGAGUCGGGUUGGAUUUUUUCUCCUCCACCCGGAAAAUGAGCAUCCUUGUACAUUAGAUCAAAAGGUAAAUUGGUCCUUCUAUUAAAAUUCCAUCCAUUUCUAUUAUUAACAAAAUGACAAUUUACUCUUUGAUCUAACAUAUAGGGAUUAAUUUGCGCUUUUUUUGAGCAAAAGAGGCAAAAUACAAUUUGACUCGUAGUACAGGGAGCUCCAUGGUACUUUUAUCUGAUUUUGGCUAAUUACAUAUACAUAAGGAAAAAAAAAAAGGAUUCACAACAUCCAGAUCAUCCUCACAAGACAAUAAUACAAAAGCUACAACAUAAUCCAACAGCAGCCUCCAAGUGAAUACAUAAUCAUGUUAUUGCUAAGUUAAUCCUUCGGCUCCGGCACUCACCCAAACAUAUUAAACGGUGACUCUCGAUUGAUCAAUGCUCGGGCCAACCUGCCUUGACCUAUCGGUGCUGCCAACACCUUCCAUUUCCCUUGACUGGUCUCCGGCAGAAUGAGCGAUUGCGGGUUGGUGCUCCACAAAUGGAUGUACCCUUCCUGUCAUUGUUUGAGUUUCGCGGAGUAAAAUCAUUGCUGCGGCUGCAACUAUAUUUUAAGUGCUGCCAACACCUUCCAUUUCCAUUACCUGUUCUCUUGCAGGGGGUACCAUUGGAGGUAGGUACUCCACAAAUGGGUGUACUACAAUUGUUGCUGUUGAGACUUGAACUCGAGUCGAAAACAUGGGAUGGACUCUUUUUGUCUAAUCCGGAAACAAGAGUGGUAAUCAUCAUCCCCGUAUGAUUUUCAUAAAAAACUGAAGCUUCUUCAUCAGAAUAUGAAUUGAAAACAGCAUAUGGCAUUGUUUAAUAUCUUGUUAUCUCGGAAUCAGAGCUAUAAAUUCUCCUCCCUUUGUGCAAAUCACAUCCUUUUCUCCCGGAAACGGGUUGCCUUCUACAAAGAGAACCAUCAUCCAUGGCAACCCCACAAAUAGGACUACAAUGCUCGAUUUCGGGAUAGUCCUCUUUAUGUGGUUGUGAUUUCAUACUCAACCUCAUGGAAGACCCUGUAGUUUUCUUUCCCUUGUGUUCAGCGCAUCGUUUUCUUCCUUCAACCGGUGGCCUUUUACAAAUCGAACCAUCAUCUAAAACCACCCCACAAGAGAAGGUUUCGUUCUCGUUGGAGCCACCGUGAUUCGAAACCAACCGAGGCCGGGAUCUGCUGAAGUUGAAAACUUGAAGCAAAAAGUUGUGGUUCUCUCCAUUUUUGUAUUUGCCAAACUCAUUGUCGUCCGAAACUAGCUUGCUUGCUUUGAUUUUGAUUCCUACUUGCUUUUGAAGGAAGGGCAGAUGCUUUUUGGAGAAAUUGGCUAAUUUCAUAAGAUUUGAUGCAUGCUUAUCUAGUUUUUGAAGGAUAUCAUCGUGACGACGUACACCUUUUGAGCUUAUUCCAUGCAUAAUCAAAAGUAGUGAGAAGCUGAGCUUCAGUUCUCCGAGCAUCUGCCUUGUUUUCCAUCUAUUUAACAUGGGAAAGUAAAAUAACAUUAGGAAUUAGAUUAAAAACCAAAUUUUGGAUACAAGGAUGAACAUGUAAUAAGAACAUUGAUGAAAAAGUGCAUUUUCAAAGCUUCUUGGCCUUCAAAAACCAUAUCAUCUGCAAUUCAUUCAAGACUAAGAGCUUAUAACAGUAUGAAGAAUAUAUAUAUAUAUUAGUUCACCAUUUGUGAAAUUGGCCUUUACACGUAUAGGCUUUCAUUGUUCUGGUUAUGUUCCUUGGACUCUUAAUUUUUCUUGAAGUAUCCGACACUCUUGUCUAACACAUGGAUAUGGGGAUAUGACCUCCAAAGAUCCUCCAAAUACAUGAAAAAACAUUAAAAAGACUAAUCAUAUUCGUGAGGGAUACAUAUCCAUAUCCGACAAUCACACCCGAGUCCGAGUAACAUAGGUUCUUGGAACACAUUUUUCCCUAUGAUUCUUACCAUUUUCACCCUCCUAAGCAUAAACAUUAACAGUUAUUAAGUGCUUAAAUGCUACAACUAAUCAAUUAAAGCCAGUAAAGGGCCGUUGUAGUAUAAUCAGCAAACAUUAGGAAAGCUUCAAAAUCUUAUAUAUAUGAACUAGAAGAUCAAACAUCACCAGAACUCCUUCACUAUGUAUGCACUAUGAACUUACGAUUGUUAUAUUUUGCUACUAAAAUCUACACCUGAAAUAAAUUACAGUUUCAUUUCAAAUUUUAAACUUUCUCAAAUUUCCGUUCAAACUUUCAUAUGAUACUAAUCAAGUUAAAAAAUUAGCCAAAAAACUUCAAAAUAUUAUAUAUUAUGUGUGUGUGUGUGUAUAUAUAUAUAUAUGACCUAGAAGAUCAAUAAAACAUCACUAGCACUUCAUCACUAUGCAUGAAUUAUGAACUUAACCACUGUUAUAUUUUACUACUAAAAUCUACACCUGAACCUCAUAUAAAUUACAGUUUUAUUCCAAGUUCAAAACUUCUCAAAUAGGUUCCAUUCAAACUCUCAUAUGAUAUCAAUCAAGUUAAAUUUAGCAAAAGAAACAGAAAAAUAUUAUAUAUAUAUGAACUAGUAGAUCAAUCAAAACAUCACUAUCACUCCACUAAGUAUGAAUUAUGACUGCUAAAAUCUACAUUUGAUAUAAUUUACAGUUUCAUUUCAAAUUCAAAACUUCUUAAAUAGGCUCCAUUCAAACUCUUAUAUGAUACCAAUCAAGUUAAAAUUAGCAAAAGAAACUUCAAAAUAUUAUCAAGUUAAAAUUUCACCAGAACUCCUUCACUGUGCAUGAACUAUGAACUUACCAUUGUUAUGGUUUACUACUAAAAUCUACACCUGAUAAAAAUUACAGUUUAAUUUCAAAUUCAGAACUUCUCAAAUAGUUUCCUUUCACUAAUAUGAUGCCAAUCAAGUUGAAAUUAACAAAAAAUUUGAAAACAAAAAGUACUCACAGGAGCCCAUCUGUAAACAAUAGAGUAGCCUCUAGCAAAAAUGUCCUCAAAGCAGCCACAUACUUUAUUAUCCCCCGAGUCAUUUCUGCCCAAAUGAGCACCUGUACGGCCAUAUUGUUGUAGCCUUGACCUGACAUUAUCAGCCUCCCCAAGAUAAACCACCAAAACCUUGUCUGAGUCAAGCUUGCCAUUAUGGUCCCUGCUCGAAGGUUUAUUUAUAGCAAGCUCAAAAAGACCUGAGCUUGCAGUUUUGGGGAGAUUUUCAACCCUGUAUCUAGCCACUCCUUCUUUCCCCACUGAAUGGUCUUCCCAAUCAUGAGGACCAAUUAGAACCUAAACAAAUGACAAACAAAAGGACCCAGAUGAGAUUAAGGUUCAUAAAUCGAAUAUAAAAACUGCGCUUACAUAAUUGUUUAUCAAAAUCGAUGAGAAAUGGGAUAGGGAUUCAUUUUUUUGCUUUAAAAAAAGCCUGUUGUCAAUGGAUGGUUGAAUUAAGAGGAGAAAAACUGAGAAGAAUUUAUGGAAUUUGAAUGGGGGCACCUUCCAUUUGGAGAACUGAGAGUCGUGCUUGGUUCGUUUGUGAUCUUCUCGGUUGAAUCUGGUACCACAUCGGCCAAUUUAGCCGCUCCCAUUGGGAUCGGAUCUUCCUUGUGGGAAAGAACCGUUGUAUUUGUUUGCGCCACUUUAUAACGGGCGUUUUUUUUCAUUAUAAUAUUGCCCUAGUUGCAUUUUUUGUUUUUGGAACUUACUUUAUUAUUAAAAUAUUUGGAUUUUUUUCUUCUUUUAGGAAUAAAACAUUUGAAUUAUUAAUAAUGUGUUUUAAACCGAAUUAGUGGUCCAACCGGUUGAGCUAUUGGUUCAUCGAUUUAAUUGGUCUGAUCGAUACAACCAGUUCAAUUAAAAAAUUAAAAAUUGAUUCAACCGAUUUGAUCGUCGAUUCAACAAGUUUUUAGUCAGUUCAAUUGCUUCGUAUUGAUUCUUAAUCUAACUAGUUCAAAGCCAAUUUUCGGAUCGGUUCGUGAUUCAAUCGGUUCAAUUGAUUGGUCCGGUCCGAUUCAAACAAUACUAAUUCUUAAGACUUAAGAUACUAUAUUUUAUAUUCUCAAAAAAAAUUUCUUUUAUUGUUUUUUUAAGAAUGAUUUUUUAAAAAAAAAUGGUUCAAUCGUCUGAUUCCUAAGUCAAUUUGUCUAAUGGAUUUCUCCGAAUCAGUACCCUUACCAAUUUCGAGCUAACUGGUCUAAUUCAAGUUUUUAUGAUUUUUUUAUAAUUUUUAUAAGUUUAUAUCAAUUUUAAUAUUUUUUUCAUAAUUUUUACAAUUUUUUUUAUUAUUUUUAAAGUAUUAUGUUUUUUAAUUUAAAUAUUGUAAAUACCUUUUAUUUUUUUAUAAUUUAUUAUAUUUUUAUAAUAUUUGUAAGUUUUUAUAAAAAAUUAUAAUUUUAAUAACUUUACAUCAAUUUUAAUAUUUAAUGUUUUUUAUAAUUUAUUUUGAAUUAUUUUAUUUUAUUUAUAAUUUUUUUAUUUUUAAUAUUUUUUAUGAGAAUAUUAGAUUAAGCCAAAAGAUGUCACGUGUCACCAUUUAAUUGAUUUGUCAAUUUAAUUUAACAGUCAACAUGAUCAAUAAUGAAACCCGUUAAUGGGGGGAUUGAUUAAUUGUUUUAGUUAACAUCAAGGGCUUAAUUAGGUGCGAAUUUAAUACAUGGACUUAAUUAAUCUCUUUUGUAUUUUCUUAAGGGUUUUUUGACAUAUAAACCUAUUAUAUAUAUUAUAUUAUAUUAUGUUAUAUUAUAUUAUAUUAUAUUAUAUUAUAUUAUAACUUGUGACAUAAUUGUAUCGUAUUUAAAAUUAUCAUUUUUUUAUAGAAUGAUUGUUGAGCAUAAUAAAAUCAAUCAAGAAACUUUGAUACUUAAAUUCAAGUUUCACCAUAUAUAAAUAUAUUUGAAUUUUCCUCUAAAUUUAUUCUAAUUCAUUGAAUUGAGUUGAAUUAAUUAUUUAAUUUUAAUGCUUGUAUGGAUAAAUUUCGAUUAGAAUAAUCAAUAUAUAUCAUCAAAAUUAAUUAAUUAACUCUUUAUUACAAAAAUACCUUCCUCAAUAUUCCAUUACAAAAAUAUAUUUAUAUACUAGACACUCGCUAAUGAGUACCGCAUCCUCAAAAUUGUAACAUUGCCAUGGCAUAUAAGCUAUAAGUACGUUUUUGCCCAAUGCGAGUUCGCCACCAACCGUAACUGCACCGUCCGCUAAAAUUUGCCACAAAUCAUGAAUUAGUAUCUACAUCUACUCUCUAAAAAAAAAUUCAAUUGUUUCGAACUUUCUAGUUUGGAAUGGGAAUAUUUACGGAAUCCCCAUGAAUAGGAUCAAACCUUAUUCCAUGGUAUUUACAUGAGAUUCCUCUUUCUUAUUCUUAAGCAAGUCCCCGAUACCAAGCUUCACUUACUAUAAAUACAAUAACUUUAUUUUUGUAAUUUGCACAUAAUAUUCACAACAAUCACACAUCCAAACACAAAAGCUACAAUGUAAAUCCACCUCUAGCCUAAGCUAAUAGACAAUUAUGCCAUUGUUAAUUUAAUCCUUUCGUUCGGACUAUCACCGGAGCAGACGAGAGGGUUACUUUCGAUCCACAAAUGCUCCGACCGACCAACCUUGAUCGAUCAAUGCUACCAAUAUCUUCCAUUUCCCCCAACAGCCAUUCGGUAAAAAGAACCAUUGCGAGUCAUAGUUGAAAGUACAGCAAAGUAAAAUAACCACUGCUGCUGCUGCUGCAACCAUAAUCCAAGUGUUGCCAACACCUUCCAUUUCCACAAACCGGUCCCUCGCAAGGAGCACUAUUGUAGGUGGUUGCUCCACAAAUUAAUAUAAUAUCAUCACCACCAUGGUCCAACCACCGCGGAGUAAAACUACUGUCAUAGCCGCCAUAAUUUAAGUUCCGUGAAGUAAAAUAACUACUACUGCGACCAUAAUUCGAAUGUUGCCAACGUCUUCCAUUUCCACUAACUGGUCUCUCACAAGGAGCAGCAUCGCAAGUGGGUGCUCCACAAAUGGAUGUAAUAUCACCACCACCGUGGUCCAACCAUCGUGGAGUAAAACUGCUACCGUCGUCCCCGCCAUAAUUUAAGUGCCUCCGGCAUCUUCCAUUUACUUGCUUGUUUGAUUUGAUUUUGAUGGGCAAAUGUUUUUUGUUGGAUACAUGUUUAUCUAGUUUCCGAAGGAUAUCAUUGUGGCGACAUGCACCAUUAGAACUUUUAGGGUACGUUUGGUUCAUUAUAAUGGAAUAGAGUUGUAAUUGAAUAGAACUGUAAUAAUAUUCUUGUGUUUAGUUGAAUGGAAUGAUGUUGUAAUAGCAUAAGGAAAAAAAUUAAAAUAACUAUAAUACCCUUAGCAGAAUUUUUUUAGGUAGAUGAUUAUUGUUGUUGUUAUUAAAAUUUAAUAAGAUUAUUAUUAAAAAUAAUUUAAUAAAAAUAAAUAUUUUAACCAUAUUUUAACAUAAUUAUUAUUAUAUGAAUUAAAAAAAUCAUAAUAUAUAAUACUAUAAAAAUAAUAUAUAAUAUGUUUUAUUAUUUUUAAAUUGCAAUACAUAUUUAAUGUGUUAAAUAUUAUUAGUGAAAUAAAUAAUUUAAUUAUUCUACAAUAAAAAAUAAAAUAUUAGAAGUAAUAAAUAACUUGAGAAUUAUAUUUCACAUCCAAACAUAAUAUUCAUAUAUUAACAAAAAGUUACACGAUUUCAUUAGUUUAUAUGUCAUAAAUUUUUUUAAUUCAUAUAAUAAUUAUAUUAAGAAUUUUAUUAAAUUAUAUUUAAUAAUAAUUAUGUUAAAAUAUGGUUAAAUUAUUUAUUUAUUUUUAUUAAAUUAUUUUUAAUAAUAAUCUUAUUAAAAUUUUAAUAACAAUAACAAUAAUCAUCUACCUAAAAAAAAUUCUGCUAAAAGUAUUCUAGUCAUUUUAGUUUUUUUUUUCCUUAUGCUAUUACAACAUCAUUCCAUUCAACUAAAUAGAAGAAUACUAUUACAGUUCUAUUCAAUUUCAUUUAACCAAACAAUUGAAUUACUAAUUACAACUCUAUCCAAUUACAGCUCUAUUCUAUUAAAGUGAACCAAAUGUACCCUUAACUCUGUCUAUAAAAUUUUAAAACUCUAUUACUCCAAAUAUUUUAUCUCAUUUUUAUUAUUUAUUAAUAAUUUUUUAAUUUUAUAUAAUUAACGUAAGCAAUCAUACCUAAAAGAUAAGUAAAAUAUAUAAAAUAUUCUAAAAAAAACAGUAUUUGUAUAAUGUUUAAAAAAUAAAAAUGUUACAAAUUAAUACAGAAACAUUUUUCCAUGUAAAAUUUUAUUAAAUUUUUUCCCUAUAUUCUUGGCCUCUUUAAAUAUUAAAUACCAUGAAAAUUAACACUAUAUUACAAAAUACCUUUCUCAAUAUUUUCACUAUGUGAAACAAAAUUUUAUUUUACUUUCACAUGCAAUUUGUGGGGAAAAAAAAGCAACAAAUAAACCAAUCAAUUAAAGUGGGAAAAAGAUUGAAAUGAAUUACCUUAUAAAUGGAGGUUAUUACACAAAGCUCAUCUAACCAAAUAUCAGAAUGGCAAUGCGGCAUCGGAGGACAGGGAGAAUCGUAUUUUAUAUCGCUGUUCAUACGUCGUUGCCAGCUGUUCCCCGGUCGGUCUUUGCUUAGUCAGAAAUUAGUCAGAAAUUUGUAUAGAUUCGCAUAUUGUAUGAACAGCUUAGCAACUCGAAAAGAAUCUGUUCGCUCAAUCGACUUGCUUUUUUGCACGUUUAUGCACCUGUCCUCCAGAGUAUAAGAACCUCAUCAGCUAAAAGGCUGAAAUUGGCAAAAAAAAUUGGGGUUCAUGUAUUUAUUUUUUAAUAUCAUGAAUCAUGAGAGCCUUGGACCAUCAAAGUAAUACGCUACGCGCUGUCCGCCCGAAGACUCGAAGACUAUCUCCUUUCAAACCAAUCUGGGAGGAGAAUCAUAUUCAACAUAACCUCAAAAGACUUGUUCCGACAAAAAUUUCGAAACAACAAUUUAAAAACAGAUGAUGCAACCCUCUGUUCGGUGAUUUGCUAUCAGAAGAGUUAUAUGACUAUUCUACAAAGUUUGUAUUCAAAGGCAGAUUGAUUACCUCAGGACUAUCAGCUGGGAACCACCGUAAUAGUACACCAAGACGAACAACAGCUGGAAUCAGUUUGAAAAGCAAUGGAGUAGUCACCUGCAUGGUAAUUUUAUGAGUAAAAUCUGAACCUUGAGAGCUAACUAUGAAAGAACUUUAAGAAAUUGGCAGUAAAAGUAGAAGGCCCUUGUAGUGGGAGUCGGGUUGCAUUUUUUCUCCUCCACUCGGAAAAUGGGCGUCCUUAUACAUUAGAACAAAGAGUAAAUUGGUCCUUCUAUUAAAAUUCCAUCCAUUUCUAUUAUUAACAAAAAUGACCAAUUUGCUCUUUGAUCUAACAUAUAGGGAUUAAUUUGCCCCCUUUUUUGAGUAAAAGAGGCAAAAUACAAUUUGACUCAUAGUACAGGGACCUCCAUGGUACUUUUACCUGAUUUUGGCUAAUUACAUGUACAUAAGGAAUUAAUAGUAAAAGUUUCCAUUCUGAUCGGAAAAUGCUUAAACCAAUUGUAUCAUUUUUCUAUGGGAUACUGUUCGUGAACCAAUAAGAGAAAAUGCAAUUGCAGCAAGACUUUUAUUGCAGUCGUCCAUUUUCAAACUACCCUCCCGUUGCAUGUUUGGUUCUCGCGAUUAGAAUGGUAAACUAUGGUAAACUAAAACUACAAGAGAUUCUCAAAUGUCAGUUUUUUAAUAAAUGCCAAAUGAGAUUCUCAAAUGUCAGUUUUUUAAUAAAUGCCAAAUGCUAAUGACACCACGUUUAACGGCUUACAUACCAAACUAAGAGCUGUUGUGCCCAGAAGUAGCAGGUAAAGUUUACCCUGCCGCAAUGACAAAAAUUUAGAAAUGGUGAUUAUAUGAAUAAAGAGCAAUGGAGUAACUUCAAUUAUAUGAAGAUUCCAACAAUGGAGGACAAACCUCUACGAGAUGAAGAUUAGACGCACGACUUAGAAGUACGAAAGCAAAUUCCCCAAUUUGGGCCAAUGACAUCCCAACCUACACAUUACGUUUAAAGGAACUAAGGCCCCUUUACUGAAUAAUGUAAGGAAAAAAAAUGUUAUACUCAACUCAUACAAGAAUUGAGGUUUUGUUGCUGUAUCUGAAUCCCUUGACAACUGCAGCAACUACCAUCGUUUUAAUAAUAAUCACCAAUAUAACAGCUGCUAGCAAUAUAUCAACGUGAUUCCAAAGGAAAUGCACAUUAAUCAACAUCCCAAUACUGGCAAGGAAAAGAGCAGCGAAGAAAUUGCGAAUGGGCUCAACCUGUGUGUAAGAGGGAGAAAACCGAGGAGAAUUUCAUUGGUUAACAAGGCAAGAACAUGGCAAGAACACCAUUGUACUAACCAAACUAAUAUUGACAAUAAUGCUCUCAAACAUGCAUCAUAAACCAAUUAAAACUCAAGGAAAACAAGAUGCUUAAAAUAGUGCCUGACGGACACAAGACUUGGCUAACCGCAAAACUAGCACAGGCAGGACUUUUAAUUGCCUUCCUAACGGUAACACUCAUCUUACACCAUCAAUAAUUGCCUUAAACUGAUUCGAUAACAUUAAGACUAACUCAGUCUGGAAAAAUAUUACAAUAUUUACUGUGUAGAGAUGGUUAAUGAGUUCACAUACAGUUGACUUUUGAGUAGGAAGUUAAACUAUUGAAAGUUCUUUCAGAAAGGCUAAAAAAAUCUAGAUAUCUUACUUGUUCAAGUGUAUGUUGACCGAGAUCAGUGGUUGAUAUCAUCACUCCCGCAGCAAAGGAGCCCAGCUCAAGGCUUAGACCCAGCUUAUCACUACACUGGAGUAUCACAACAACCUCUGUUAUAUGCAUAUACAAAUGAAUGUAGGCUGCUAACUGAACGAAAGGCACAUGGGUUUUAUUGGUAGAGUUAAGAAAAAAAAAGUUGCAAGUGAAAAAACUUGCAGCAGUCCAUGCAACAAAAUGAUAGAUCUUUUCCGAUGUUAUGUUGCAAUUAGAUGCAAAGGUUAAUUACAAUGCAAGAAGUAAGAAGGAAAUGAGCAAACCCAAGCAACAAGCAAGCAAAAUGCCACGGAUGCCAACUGAUAGAGUUCAUUAGUCUGCAAAUAAAUAUCUAGGUUAAUAAAUGUACAUAGAUUAAAGAACUGAAAAAAUAAGACAGAUUUAUUAUAUAAAGGUGUUACGAGAAAGAAACUUGUGAUGCAAGAAAGAAAAAUUAAGGGAAGAAAAAAAUAGACUUGAAGUGUGAUUCACAACUCAAUUAGGCAUUAUUGAGUUUUAAAUAUAGGCAUAGUACAUGACUUAUGGCAGAAGAAGUGCCCCUUUUUUUUUACCUUUAAAAAUGUAGUAAGCCCACUUAUCCAAUGGGAUAGGCACCCAACUCAAAUAUUUACGUUCUAAAGAAUUGUAUAUUCAAAUUCUUUAUACUUGAUAUUUGUAGCAAUGUGGGAUUACUAACAUUGCAAACUACUAACGAGGUUACCUGUGAUGAUAGGCUUAUCAUGAGCUUAAGAAACCAUGGCACACAAGUCCAAGAUACUAUUGUCAAAAUGGUCAGAAAUGUGAUUAAAACCACCAACCUGAAAAUCAAAGGAGAAAAUGUAUUAUUAGAAACCUAAAAACUGUAAUGAUAUUUCCCUCAACUGAAUCAAAAAGAGUAGAUCUUAGAGAUUUUUCAUUUACGAUUUAGUCAUGGAUAAUACUCCUUGAAGGACUCCAGAAUUGCCACCUAGAACUGGAAGUAAAGCAAACAGCAAACCGACAGCACAGUCCUGCCAUGACAAAACUUCAUACUGCCUAAGCACAAGUGAAGUUCUUUUAACUGAUGUGGUGACAAAGAAAAUAAAUACCUGCAGGAUAAGAGUUCCAAUUGUAACUUGACCAUGAAGGGCACUUAUACUAUUCCUUUCCAUCAAAAAUUUCAAAACCUGAAACCAUUAAAGACAAAGCAGUCAUCAUAAGAAUAAAAGGAGACUACAUGCAUCUGCAAAGCAAAAUAUUUGUGAAAGUGUUUCCUCGAAUAAGCAAUUUUCUCUAAAAUUUUUCACCAAUCCAAGAACAUGCAGUUCAUAGAGGUUUACCACAGCUGUAGAAGACAUAGAUAGGAAUGCACCAACAAAAACCCCCUCUGAAGCUUUACCCCCACAUAACUGCAAAAAGCAUGUAGCUGCAUUCAUCAAAAACUCAUAACUAAUUUGGAAGGAAAAUACUAUAAGAGAUGAAAAAAUAGAAACCAUCAUAUCUUCUCAAUAGAAAAAGUGAAAAAAAAUUUCGACAUGCCUAAUUAAACAAAACAAAAAAAAAGGUCCUCACCAACUGAUAUAAAAAGAGUGGAUAACAUCUUGCCCAAGCGCCAGAUAAUGAUAACAUGGCGCUCACUUAUGUGGUUACACCAGAUGUUAUAUAAGUACAGUAUAAAAUACAAACCAUAUAUGCUAAAACUUAGUACCAAUAACUGCAAAGCUUAUUUUAUGUGGUAAGAUUUAAUUAUCAAACAUUUACAGAAAAAUAUUUCUAACAAUAGCACACAUACCGAGACUGUUAUACCACACAAGCACAUGAAUAGAAAAAUUUGAAGAAGACCCCCAAGGACAGCAACUGCUCGAACAACACGAAGCUGCAUAAAUUGCAACAAGGUGUGUACCAUGAGUCAUAGGAAUGAAUCUAAUAGGGCCAGUACAAGGCAACAAGCAAACCUUUGUUGCUGAAAACUCCAAGCCUAAAGCAAAAAGAAGAAAGAUUACACCAAAUUGAGCCACUGUUUCCACCUGAAUUCAUGAGCCAAAAAAGAUAUGGACACGGUAAGUGAAAUUAUUUAAAAAAUGAAAUGAGAAAAAUAGUACACAGAUGUGUAAGCUUCUACCACAGGUUCCUUGAACAGAAUUCUUUAAGAAUUAAUAAAGAUUGUUUUGUUUGCUAAUCCAACAUAAUUGCGCAAGUAUUAGCAUGUGUAUUAUUACCAGUUUAUGCAUAUAAAUGCAUUUCUUAGUCUGCUUCUUUUUCUAGGAACCCAUGCAUGCAAGCAAAUAUGAAAUAAGUAGGAAGACCGAUAACUAUAUUUUAACCAAUUUUGAAAAUUUGCAUACAUCUGUUACAAGCAACUUACAAUGAGGCAGUAGGUUUUCAGCUCUUGCAGUAUCAAGUAAAUACAGUAGCUAUAAACUAUACCACAUCAUGCUUAUAAGCUUAGAAAGAUUACUUAUGUUGCUGUAGUUAUGCAUUUAAAACAGGAAUUUCUGUUUAUUAUAAACAACAGCCUUGUUGAGCAUCAUGAUCUUUAAACAUCUAAAAUGAGUUGGAACUUUAUCUAACUUAAUCGCCAAUUCUGCAGACCAACACCCCACUUUAUAUGUCUAGAAGUCUCACCCAAACAAAACAAAACCCAAGCCAAAGACAAGUAAUUGCCAGCUAGUAUCAAAGUGGAAGCAACAUACUUGCACCAUUUCACCAACAAAGCUAAAUCCACCGGGUCCAAUAAUAGAUCCUGCAAGUAGAUAUCCAGUAAUAACCUGAAAUUUAAAAAUGCAAAGGUAAGACUCUCCUUUAGAGAAAAUCUGUAAUUCUGAAUCAAGAACAAGUUCUGCAAAGCAUUUAAGAAGAGACUGAAAAUAAAUCUAUAACCAGAACACUGUGUUAGAGGGUGAAAACUAAUGGAAUAAAGAAAGUAAAAGGCACAACAGCAAUACCGGUUGUCCAGCACAAGCAAAAGCAAUGCCACCGCAUGUAGCAGAGACGAUGACAAUUAUCAGAUCCAAUAUUAAUCUGCACAAGAAUUUUGGGAAAAUCAAAGUUGGUCCCAAUACAACUGUGAUGGCAUCAAACUAAACUAAAUACAUAAAAUAUACAAUAAAAGUUUAACCUUAAGUCUAAUUGUAGAACAGGAUACUUCGACUUUGGGUUGGAUAUUAUAAAGACAUUGUCCUGACGAGAAGUAUGCCAACAUGAUCAGCAUGUAAUUUACUUAAAUAUAACUACACUAAAAAUACAAUUGCCUGAGGCAGCAUUAUCAUGAUUCAAUGUCAACAGCAAGGAAAAUUAUCAACUGAAUAGAAAUUUUAGAAGACUUUUACAAGACAUACAUUUCGAUCUAUCAACGUUGGUGCAUCAUCAGCUCGAUUUUCAUCAUCCAAAUGGAAAACGUCAUGGAGCUGAAAUGACCUGGCACAAGGCUCAAAAAAAUGUAAGCUGUCAAGUAAUGUGGGUUAGGCGAAGCAAAAUGCCCACAAUAGCAGAAGAAUGGUUCAACUCUUACUUCUCUUCCUUGGUCUCAUUUUUCUUGGUCUUAACUCUAGCAACAGUUUCCAAGACAGCCUAAGAAAAAUAAACCAAUUAUGUUAUCACCACCCAGCUUCUUUAAUAAUUGAUAGAAAAUUCAUAAACAGACAGGUAAAUUCUCAUCUUUAUUGCAAGAGUAGCAUGGUUCAGCAUUCUGAUCUCAAAAGUUUUUCUCACUUGAAAACUAGAAUGGAAAUCAUAACUAAACCCAUCUGAUCCAAUAAAUUGUUUACAGCUUUAGAUUCUUUAACCACUAAAGUCAAUAUUGAAAUUUAAAGGCAGCCGACAGCCGGCCUCUACACAAUAAAAGAAGCUCCACUUUUGAGUGCUUAAUCAAUGAUCAAUUUCAAAACUAAAGGUCAUAGAAAAUGAAUAACAUUAUUAAAAAAAAUAACUAGCCUACCACCAACCUGCUUCCCCGCGACACUAUUGUUGAAACUAUCAGGAUCAGUAGCUGCAAAAAGAGAGAGGUAAGAAUUCAAUAAUUGAAACUAAAAGAGCCAAAUUAAGAUUUCUAUUUUAUAACUUAGAACAGAGGAAUGAAUUUCGUUUUCUACUUCUCGAGUUCACUUGUCACUGCAAUUUUUAAAGCUCUUUACGCAAAUGCGGUAAAUUUUCUAAAUAAAAUACAGCGAAAUAAACAGAAAUGUUCAUAAUCAAACAUCAAACGUUAAACAUUUUAAUGAAAAAUACAAAAUUAAGAAAAAAACUGAGUGAAAUAACAGCUGAUCCACAUGCUUCAAAAGCCAAACUCAACUAACCACCAUUGAUACAGAAAUAAAUGCCGAAUGCAGAUGAAGAGAGAGAGAGAGAGAAUAACGAGAAUUCAGAUCUGGUAGUACGGACCUUCAUUUUGGUCGGUGUCAUUGAAUUCCUUCUCAAGAGCACGAUCGAUCAUGCCGACAAAACUACCCUCUCUGGAUCUCGGGUCCGAGAUAUUGGCCAGAACGGCGGUGACAUUGAUCUCCACCGCUGACCGGGCGUCAAUGACGGCGACGGAAGUGAUGAAUACAAUGAGAUCACAAAUGAAGAAGAGAGCACAGAUUCCUCUCAUUUCCGAUGUUUUAGUGAAUGAAAAAAAAAAGUGAAAGAAAAUGGAGAAAUUAGCAGAAGCGUAAGUUAACGAAACAGAGAGUGAAGCGUAUUGGAAUCGCGCCUUUCUCCUUUUUUCGUUUCCUUCUCCACUCUCCCGCUUGUUUGUUGGAAAAAAUAAUAUUUGUUUAAAGUUAGCUUAAAAAAAAUGGAGGUUGAUGAAAAGGAUAAACUCUACCACUCAAAUCAGGUGUUAAUCCUACUCGUACGCGCUCAACGGUACCGCGUGCAACAAAUGCCUUGUGUUGUAGCCUUGUAGGUGUUCAUUAGUUGUGUACCCCGCCCACUCGCUCUGGAUCAGAUUUGAGCUUGGGAUGGCAAAAAAAUCCGCAUUCAAUAGGUUUCGACCCGAAUUAAUAGGGUCGGAGUUUUUAUUUUUGAAAUUAGAUUUGAGGCAGAUCAAAGUAAAUUUUUUGGGGUUAGGGUCGAAAAAAGCAAAGGCGACACCGGGCCCCCUAAAAAUAAAAUGUUUUAUUUUAUCUCUUUUAGGAAUAAUAAAAUUAUAAAUUAAUUGAAUGGUAAAAAUAUAUUUUAACCUUUAAAUAUGAAAAAAUUUAUUUAAUCUCUUUAAAAAUAAUGAAAUUAUAAAUUAAUAUAUAAUAAAAUUAUAUUUUAAUCUAUCAAAAAUCUUAUAAUUUAAUUUUAACUCCCUAAAAAAAUUUUUAGCUUCGUCCAUGAAAAGAACUUACCUUACCUCGAGAUAAUUAUAAAAUUUCCCUUAUAUAUAAUAUAUAUUAAUAUUAGAUCCUCAGUUCCAUUAUUUGUGUCACUCACCUUUGUAUUCUUCUCCAUAAUUUCUCAUCUUUCUUAAUUAACCUACUGUUUAAAAGUGAUGCAUAAAUGAAAUAGAAUGACAAAAUUAAUUGUCAAAAAUUUUGUAUUCAAAAUGUGAAAAUGUUCUGUACCAAGAUGGGUGAGGUACAUUAUUUAUUUUUCUAGGCAAAUUUAUAGGGGUUACACUUUUUUAAGUCAGGGUUAAAAAAUCGACUUAUCUUAUUUCGUUGUCAUCCCUAUUUGAGCUGGUAGCAUUAACUGUUUAAAGAUAAUUUAAAUAAUUUUGUAUUAAUAUUUGUAUAUUUUUAUAAUUUUUAAAAUGGAAAAAUGAAUCAUUUGGACAUAAUGGGCUAAGCUCUAUCUCAAGCUUAGAUUUUUUUUUUUUUUGGAAUUAGGUCUCAACCUAAUCCAGCUCUUAAACACCUCCAUGUUGUACAUUACUCCUAAAUAUGUCCAUGAAUUAGGUCGAUUUUGGUUCGAGCUCAUUUUUUAUUACUUAUUCAAGUUUAAGUUUAUUUUGAUUUUAGGUUCAAUUUCAAGAAUUUAAAUUACCAACUUCUUUUACGAACAAAUCAAAUUGAGUCCAACUUGAAUUUUUGGGCUUGUAGUUUUUUUCUUAAACAUGCAUAUUAUUUCAUUAUCGAAAAGAAAUAUGUAGAUCAGGUUUAAACUCCAUACAAGACAUGUACCUAAAAUAAAAGCCAGUGACAUAUACCAUACAAAUAUUCAGAGGCCAAUGAUUUAAACAUCAAAAUCCGAUGACAAAGAUUCGAUAAGCAUCCAACGCAAUUAACCAUGUCCAGUUUUUUAUCAUGGGCGCUAAUAGAGAUCUUCGCUUGUAACCUUGACCACGUACCCGUGACAUAAAGAAAUGUCACACUUUUAUCAAAAUUGUGGCUAUUUGACAAAAAUACAAAAAAUAUAUAUAAAUUACUCAAAUUUAAAAAUACUUAUAUAAAUAACCUUAAAUGAACAGUAAAUUAAGGUAGGAGACUUAAAUGACCGACAUCACCUAGAUUUUUGUGCCAAUUAUCAUCUGAUAAUUUUUUCAAGUGUUAAAAAAAUACUUUUUAGGGCUGAAGGGCCUUAAUGGUUGACACCCUUUUAUUUUUUUUCAACCGUAUCAUAUUGGUAUAUUUUACAAGAUUUAAAAAAGCGACCAUCUAGUACUCUCAAUCCAAUUUUUUUUCAAAUACUAGUGUAAUUUUUUUCAUUAAUUUUGAGAGUGAUUUGAUGAAUAGUAUAGGUUUAAAGGUUAAAAAAGAUGAGAAUUUAAAAUAAAAACAAAAAUAACUUUUUUUUUUAUAAAAUUGAAAGGUGAAAUAAAUUAUUAUACAAAUUACUUAAUAAGGCAACAUUUAUAUAUAGUUGUGAUGUUUAUACAAUGAAGAUUGAUUGGUAAUUAAAUUCAAAGGACACAACUACACAAGCAACUAAACUAAGGUCUUAAAUUGUUAGGUGAAGAUGGUGGGGCCACCACGAAACUCUAUGGCAACUUCGCCAAAGAUUCAAAUUUUUGUGUCAAAACGAAAAAAAUGUGUUCAAUGUAUAAUAAACAAAAGUUUGCAAGCUUGCAUCAACUAUGUAUACGAUUAAAGAAUUUUCUAGGAACUGUUACGUAGCUACGGGUGCUGACAAGGUUCGGGCUACUUAAAAUAAAAAACUUUCUAUUUAAGUUUUUAUUUUUUUAAUUUUAAAUUAAUAAAAAAUAAAAUUACAUUUUGACUCUCUAAAAAAUAAUAAAAAUUUAGUUUAAAGCUUAAAAUAUUAAAAUUACAUUUUUAUUAUUAUAAAAAUUAUAAUUUAAUUUCGAUAUUUCUAAAAAAUAUUUUCCACCUUCACAAUACAUUCACAAGAAAGUGUGAAUCUAUUAGGAAAUCCAUAACAUUAACAUGAAAUUAUGUAUUUUAUUCAAUCAAUAUGUAAGACGUUUGACGACAUUUAAGUAAUGAUUUUAGGAGAAAAUUUAUUGAGAAAAAAAAACUCUUAUUUGAGGAUCUAAUUUUAUUUGGUUCUAAAUUUAGUCAAGAUUUAAUACGUCUGUUAGAUAUUUAAAAGGUUUAAAUAUAAUUUAUUUUAUUAAUAUUAAAAUUCAAAUAGAAUAAAAUAACAUUUAAUCAUUAUAUUUGGAAUUUUUUGUAUAUUGGCCCUAGAUUUUUUUUUUGUCCGAUUUAAAAAAUUGUAACUUUUUCCAAUUUAUUUUUUGACUUGGAUUUCAUUAAGGUAUGGUAGUGAGGCAGUUUGAGAAAUUUAAAUAUUUUAAAUAUUUUUUAGAUUAUAUUUAUUUUAAAAUUUAAGUGAUGAUGUGACAUAAUUCAUAGUUUCACGUCACCUUACCUUAAUGGGAUCCAAAUUCAGUAACCAAAUUAAAAAAAAAAGUAGUUAAGUUCUGAAACUAAUAUAGACAAAAAAAAAUCGACCAAUUUUAAAGACCAAAUGAUGUUUUAACCUGAUUUAAAUACAUGUAGUGAUAUAUUAAUCUUUUUAUCAAAUUCAAAUGAAUCCCUUAACUUUCAAGAGAUCAUCUCAUUUCCGUUAUUAAUCAUGCAAACUAAGUGCAAACAUGCCCCACAUAAAAGAUCCACUAGUUCCUAAUAAAAAUUGUGUAUUAAUAAACUUUUUAAAAAAUUAUCUAUUAAUUUAUGCUCGAUAAUUUAAGUUCGAGACUCAUCAUACAUAAUUAUUUUAAAUUUAAGUUAAUUACAGAUAAAUUUUAUCUAAAUUAAGAUUAAUUACAUUUUAUAUUAAUUUUAUUCUAGUUAUAAUUGUUCAGACAUGUAAUAUGAUUGUAUCAAUAAUUUACUUAUUGAAUUUGAGUUUAAAUUAAAAAUAAAAAAUAAUUAUGAUCAAGAAAUCCUCAAAAUAAUAAUAAAAUACUCGAUUUUAGAUCAGUAAUAAUUGAGCCAAUUUUAUAAAAAAAAAAAUACAAGUCAUUGUAUCUCAUUUACACACAAAAGUAAAUUAUUAAAAAAAACCAUAGCUGCCCCCCAUUAUUCCUGAAGAGGGAAGAAAAAUCAUGCAAUUUCUACUAAUCUUGUCUGCUAUCCAACAUUAUGAUUAGAUUAAUUUUGAUUAUUCAUGCAUUAUGAUUCUUUUGUUUGUUUACAUCUUAAAAAUGUUUGAAAUUGACUUCACCUCAAUAAUUUGGAUGUAAAAAGCCAAAAAGAGAGAAAGUUACAUGCUUAUUCAAGGACUGAGCUACUUGCUUUGUUCUAAUAGGCUGGUUUUAUAUGAACCAAACUUUCAAUAUAUUUUGAAUUUAUAAUUCAAAUGAUUGAUUUGAUUAAAACUUUCUUAUUUAAUAAAAACAUUUUAUUUUAUUUAAAUUUAUGAAUUUAUUCAAUUUGAAUUUAAAGUAGAAAAUUUAGAUAUUUUCAAAUUUCCAAACACCUUUAAUCGUGAAUAUUGAUUUAUUUUCUAAUGUUUUAGAUGGGUAACUAUAAUAGUUACCUAACUAUGUCUUCAGGUUUAUUUUGAUCAUUCAAUUAUUAAUAUUUUAUUUAGUUAUUCAACUUUUUGAAAUAAAAAAUUUUAGUCAUUCUCUAGUUACGAGUGAUAGAAAGUUAAAAUGAGCUUUUUUUUAUUGACAUAUUAAUAAAUUUAGCUCUUCAAUGUUUAUACAUUCUAUUAAUUUGAUCUUAAAUUUAAAAAUUCAACAAAUUUAACUCUCAAUGUUUAUAAAAAUUGUUAUUUUAGUUCUAAUUCUAAAAGUUUUAAAAAAUAAAAAUUGUUAUUUAAAUUUUUUUGGAUAAAAAAUUAUAAAAAUGAUUUAAAAAUCUAAAAAACAUAAUAAAGUGUAAAUAAAAAUAAAAAAAUAUAUCAAAUGAUUCAAAAACAAAUGAUCUAUUGUUUACUUUUUAUUUAAAUGUCAAAUAAACAUUUGUCAGUUAUUUAGUCGUUUGUGCAAUUAAAAACCUUAUCAACUAUAUAUUGAAUAAUAAUAUGAUGUUUUUCAAGUUAGAGUUUUUUUGAGUUGAGUACUUUUAAAUUCAAUUUUUAUUUUUAAAAUUUAAACUUUUAACUCUUUAAUUAAAUUAAAUUUAAAUAGAUUCGAGAUCGAAUUUUUUCGGAUCGGAUUCUAGGACUUCCUCUAUAGAAAACAAAUAAUAGUAUAAUUAGAUAUUUAAUAAAAUAAAAGUACUUAGGCUGGAUUUGGAUGGACGAUUAGGUACGAUGCGAUAUGUUUAGUUUACUUUUUAUCUUACGCUAGAGUAUCGCUACACUAUUUUUACACUGCUUAUCCAAACUCAUCAUUAAUUGCUGCUAUGAUAUCCAAAUGCCGUUAUAAAUAAUAGCCACUCGCUUCGCUCCUCUUCGAGCCUCCCCUCGCUACUUCCCUCCUAAUUUUCAGGAAAAUAUACUCAGCCCACCGUCUCCGACAGUGUCAACCCGUAACCCAAUCUCUCAAAUAUGGAUCGACCCAGAUUCGUAAUCGACGCCGUCGAAGCCGAGCAAAUGGCCAAACAAUCAGGCAAGACGGUGCUCCAACUCCUUCCUUCUCUGGUCAAAUCAGCCCAGUCCGUAGCCCGCCCGCCGAUCUCGAAGUACCACGUCGGGGCAGUCGGGAUCGGGUCAUCCGGUCGGAUCUUUUUCGGAGCCAAUUUAGAAUUCCCGGGCUUGCCCCUCAACCAUUCCGUCCACGCUGAGCAGUUCCUUAUCACCAACCUUUCCCUCAAUGCAGAGCCGCGUCUUAAAUACAUCGCCGUCUCCGCCGCUCCUUGCGGCCAUUGCCGCCAGUUUUUCCAAGAGCUCCGCGGUGCUCCCGAUGUCAAGAUGCUCAUAACUUCCUCCGAUGAUGAAAAGGAAAACAAAAUAAGCAACACUUGUAAUGAUAAAGACCAAGAAUUUACCCCUUUGUCUCAUUUUUUACCUCACAGGUUCGGCCCCGAUGAUCUGCUAGGAAAAGAUGCUCCUCUCCUCCUCGAGCCUCGCCGGAACGGCUUGUCGUUUACCUCCGACAGCUGCGAGAACGACGAGUUAAAACACGCGGCUCUCGAUGCCGCGAACAUGUCGUACGCACCUUACAGCGGGUGUCCAUCCGGAGUGGCGUUGAUAGACGUUGAAGGGAAGAUAUACAAAGGGUCUUACAUGGAAUCCGCCGCUUACAACCCGAGUCUACCGCCGGUUCAGGCGGCAAUAGUCGCUUAUGUAGCCAGCGGCGGCGGAGGAGGGUACGAGAGGAUCGUCAGAGCAGUUUUGGUGGAAAAAUCCGACGCCGUUAUCAAACAAGAACACACUGCAAGGCUACUUUUACAGUGCAUUUCACCAAAAUGUGAAGUCAAGGUGUUUUCAGUGUAAAAAACUGUGAGUAUUUAGCUUCAAUUUAUUGCUUAUUUAUGAAUUUAAAAUGAUGAAAUCAUGGUGAAAAAUGGUAUCUAUGGAUUAAAUGAUGAAAACCCAGAAUGAACAUGUAAAUCACCAAGUGAAUAAUUGUGAUGAUUUGUUAUCUUUUGCAGCUUGAAAUAUAUUUUGUCCUGUGUUUUUGUUCUUUGUCUCUGUUCUUUAAUGGAUGAAUGGACUCCUUUUAGAUGUGAUGCUGAGAAACUGUUGGAUUGAUUGAUUGAUGAAAAAAGGUAUACCAAAAAAGAGGCAGACAUGAGAUUCCCAGUUCCACUUUUGAACUUGGUCCAUUUUUUUAGCUUUUGCUUUGAGUUGGUGGAUGGUGGAUCCCUGUUGUUAUUGAAUUGCUGCCAUCAAAAGCCAUUAAGCGCUCUCUCAUUACAACAGACCAUAUGAAUUGGUACUAUAGAUUUGACUCUGGUAAUCUUAUCCCUCUCUUCGUAAAUUGUUAAAUCUUUUAGAUUAGACAUAAACAAAACGAGUCGACUAACUGAGUCACCAUGGUCUCGAAAAACUCGAGUCAUCAAUGGUAUGAGAAACAUGAGUCCUUAUAGACUUGAGAAAACCUCCAUCAAGAGAGGAGCUGAGGGACAAAACCUCCAGUUAAAUUUAUUAUUCCGAGAAACCAUGGCCCUCCUAAGUCCGAAAAAAUAAAAAGGAGGCUGAUGGAGGAGAAGGAAGUGGUGGUGAUGGUGGAGAUGAGGGAAAAGAUGAAAGAAAGAGGAAGCGGAAAACGAAGAAGGAAGAGCAAUGAUGUUUGAACCGGUUUUUUAAAAUGAAAUUUUAAUCGAAUGGUUCAACUAGUAAAAUUCAAUACAGUAAUAAAUAAGUGAAUUUAAUAUUUUUUUUCUUUUACAAAAAUGAACUCAAAUAAUUUGUGAUCAUUUUAAGGCUGAAAAAAGGAUGGAAAUUGAUCGAUCUUAUCCACCAAAAGUGUCGACUCCAUUAUUUGGCUUUAUCAAAAUAUUGUGGCUUUUACUUAAAAGGAAAAAAAAGGGAAAAAAGUACAAAAUGUAUACCCAAUUAUCUUUAGUUUUUUAAAUUUAUAUAAUGAGUCUUUUACUAAAAUGUUACAAAAUAAAAAAUAAAAAUAUCAAAAUAAUAUACAAAAAAGUUUAUUUAUCAAAAUAAUACAAAAAAAAAAACAAAACAGCUGAAUGGAGGGCCUACCACAGACGGCACGCCUGUGGCAGAGGCGGCACCAACAUGUUCGUAUUUCAGCCCUUUGUUCGUAUUUUUUUCGAAUUUUAUUACUUUAAAAAAAUAUACUUUUUUCUAAUUUAUUAUUUUACAUUAUUUUAGUACAUUAUGCUAGAAAUGUAUUCAUUUAGUGUGUUUUUUAUUGAAAGUGAUAAAAUCCGGUAAAAAAAUAUGAACAAAUGGCCGAAAUAAGGGUUUUUUUUUUAAAUUUAUUUAAAAAACACACUAAAUGAAUACAUUUCAAACAUAAUGUACUAAAAUAAUGUAAAAUAAUAAAAUUAGAAAAUAGUAUAUUUUUUAAAGUAAUAAAAUCCGGAGAAAAAAUACGAACAAAGGGCCGAAAUAAGGGUUUAUUUUUUAAAUUUAUUUAAAAAACUCACUAAAUGAAUACAUUUCAAACAUAAUGUACUAAAAUAAUGUAAAAUAAUAAAAUUAGAAAAUAGUAUAUUUUUUAAAAGUAAUAAAAUUCGGAGAAAAAUACGAACAAAGGGCGGAAAUAAGGGUUUUUUAAAUUUAUUUAAAAAACAUAAAUCAAUAUAUUUCAAACAUAAUGUACUAAAAUAAUGUAAAAUAAUAAAAUACGAAAAUAUUAUAUUUUUAUUGAAAGUAAUAAAAUCCGGAAAAAAUACGAACAAAGGGACGAAAUAAGGGUUUUUUUAAUUUAUUUAAAAAACGCACUAAAUGAAUACAUUUCAAACAUAAUGUACUAAAAUAAUGUAAAAUUAUAAAAUUAUAAAAUAGUAUUUUUUUUAAAAAUGUAUUCAUUUAGUGUGUUUUUUAAAUAAAUUUAAAAAAAUUCUUAUUUCGACCCUUUGUUCGUAUUUUUUUCCGGAUUUUAUUACUUUCAAUAAAAAUAUGUUAUUUUCAUAUUUUAUUAUUUUACAUUAUUUUAGUACAUUAUGUUUGAAAUGUAUUAAUUUACUGUGUUUUUUAAAUAAAUUUAAAAAAAUCCUUAUUUCGGCCCUUUGUUUUUUUUCUCAGAUUUUAUUACUUUCAAUAAAAAUAUACUAUUUUCUAAUUUUAUUAUUUUACAUUAUUCUAGUACAUUAUGUUUGAAAUGUAUUCAUUUAGUGUGUUUUUUAAAUAAAUUAAAAAAAACCCUUAUUUCGGCCUUUUGUUCGUAUUUUUUUUCCGGAUUUUAUUACUUUCAAUAAAAAUAUACUAUUUUUGUAUUUUAUUAUUUUACAUUGUUUUAGUACAUUAUGUUUGAAAUGUAUUAAUUUACUGUGUUUUUUAAAUAAAUUUUUAAAAAAAACCCUUAUUUCGGCCAUUUGUUCAUAUUUUUUUCCCUGGAUUUUAUUACUUUAAAAAAAAUAUACUAUUUUCUAAUUUUAUUAUUUUACAUUAUUUUAGUACAUUAUGUUUGAAAUGUAUUAAUUUAGUGUGUUUUUAAAUAAAUUUAAGAAAAACCUUAUUUCGUCCCUUUGUUCGUAUUUUUUUAUCGAAUUUUAUUACUUUCAAUAAAACACACACUAAAUGAAUACAUUUCAAGCAUAAUGUACUAAAAUAAUGUAAAAUAAUAAAUUAGAAAAUAGUAUAUUUUUUAAAAGUAAUAAAAUCCGGGAAAAAAAUACGAACAAAUGGCUGAAAUACGAACAUGUUGGUGCCUCUUCUGCCACAGGCACCAUUGGUGCCGCCUGUGGCAGGCCCUCCAUUCAGCUGUUUUAUUUUUUAUUAUUAUUAUUUUAGUAAAUAAACUUUUUGUAUAUUAUUUUGAUAUUUUUUUUAAUUUUUUGUAAUAUUUUAGUAAAAGACCCUUAUAUAAUUAUUCAAAGGGUUAAAGUGAAUUACUGUCGUCUGGAUUCAGUUUAGAAAUUAUUGAAACUCAUUUCUUUUAUAAAACAACAAUCAUUAUUAUAAAAGAUAUAUAAUUAAUGAGAUUUAAACCUACUAAUAUAUCGAGACAUAAAUGUUCGAAGCUAAAGGCUUAAAAUAGGGAGAUAUGACUUGAGAUAUAAUCAUGUAUUUUAAUAUUUUGACCCAUAAAUCAUAAACUGUUUAUGUCUUUGAUUAUCUAUAACUCGAAACGUCACAAUUUGGCCCAUUUGAGUUCGAUUAACACUUGUAACAUCCUUUAAUUAACCGAUAUCUUGUUUAAUGUGCUUUAACCUUUGAACUUCAUAAAGUUGCAUGCAUAUAUGCUCGUUUUGAGUAGUUUUGAAAUAGGUAUAGUGCUUUGCAUCUUAUCAUCUUUCUAGUCGAGUUUAAUGUUAUCUUAAUUUUAUCAUUUCAACUAAAACUUCAUUUAUUUUUCACAUCAAUUUCUAUAAAUAUGUUUAUUGCACAAUCAAGGAACAAAGCCAAAAAAAAAUUUUAGGGGCUGAAAUUAAAUUGUAAAAUGCUAUUUCACUAGUUUAAUAGUUUAUAUUUUUAUAAUUUUUAAAGGAUUAAAUCAAAUUUUUCUUAUUUUUGGACCAAAGUAUUUUUCUUUACUAAUUUAAAAUUUUAAAAAUUUUAAAAGACCUAAAUAAAAAAAUUUCCGACCAUAAUCUUAUUAUUAUUAUUAUUUAUUCGAUAAUGCUAUGGAGAAUAGUUAGUCAAAUUUAAAUUGCCAUGAUUUUAAUUAAUAUUACGUUUAUCACGAUAUUUUAACUAAAGUCAUUACCAUCGAUUGCGAUGAAUUAAUAAAUAUCUGUAGCAUUGCUUAAAUAUCUAUAAAUUGACUAUGUCUUAUAUCAUUAUUACUAUAAAAUAUGUUAGGUAUUAAUCCAAAAUUGACAUUGCAGCUUGUAGUUUCCUUCGGUAUUUUAGAAUCAAAGGCUUAGUCUAAGUGCAAUGAAUGUAAAAAAGAUGGUCAAAAAAGAGUUAAAUAUGCUUGUCGUUAUGAUUUCAAUCUACAACUCAUGAUGUAUAUCUUCAUUUCUUUAUAUUUCUUAAAAGUAUUUGUAGUUGAAUAUAAAUAUAAUAUAUAUAUGUGUGUAAAAUUAUUAUUUUCAUUUUAAAUAAAUAUUUAUAUUUGAAAUUCAAGUAACAUAAGUGCUCAGGUUAAGUCUUAUAAUGUGUAUAAGUUUUCUUUUCAGAUUUAUUUUGAGUAUAAUUACUCAAACAUGUGUGUGUUUGUUGAUACUAAAAAUCAUUAAGAGAAGAGGUUGACAAAGGUACAAGGUAGUUCACUAUUCACCUUGGGAGGGCAGAGAGUCAUAGUAGAUUGAGAAGUAACGAAGGAGGAGGAAGAGGGGAAAAUGAAAGAGAGGAGUCAAGAGAGUGGGAAUUGUUUAUUUUAUCUUUACUUUUUACUAAGGGGAGAGAGUUGUUAUAUGAAAGGUAUGUGAUGCCAUGUGUAAGCAUCUUAUUGACAAAUGCGUCACGUCCUUGUCUCUUUAAAAAGGUCGCAAUGUGACACUAUAAAUCGGUAAUGUGAUAAUGUAGAAUGAUUUAAAGAGUAAAGAUUAUCUCUUCAUGAUUGAAGGGCUCAAAGUGUUGUAUGCCAAUUGAUUUCAUUUUUGGGAUGCUAAAAUUACACUUAAUUAAGCGGUAUUUAAGAAUGAUGUGCAAAUGUGGUAUAACAAUGUCUAUAUAAUUUAAGAAAUACCACUUUUAAAUAAGAAAGUAAAGAAGUGAUGAAGUUGAAAACUUGAAACCAAAAUUAUCUUUAUUUUUGCCUUUAAUAUAAAGUUAUAAACAUGAAUGAUUGGUCUCAUAAGGAGUUAUCCAACAGGAAGUGAUUGAUUUUUUAUUGUUAACAAUCAUUCAAUCAUUUUAAUUAGUUACAAUCAGAUUAAUUUAAAUUUAAAUAUAAUUUAAUCUGAUUUAAUCCAAUCCAAAUAUAAAUUAACUUAAACUCGAAUCGAUCAAAAUCCAAAUUAAUAUGAAUCUGUAAUGACUUAAUUUGAACCCCAAUUCUUAAAUCGAAUGACCCAAACUUAAAAUGAUAUAAAAUAAUCUAAAAAUCCAAACUCGAAAUAACUUAAAAAUUACUCUAACUACCCAAUUGAUGGGUAUCCAUUCAAUAUUUUAAAAUUUUCAGCAAUUGUUUUUGAAAAAAAUUAAUACGUAUCUUAGAUUUAGUCCAUUAUCUCUUUUGUACCAAAACAGUUGAUUCACAAUAGAUGAAAAACAAAAUUUUAAUAGAGAGGAAGGUGGUAUAUGAUGAUACAUAUUAAACUUAAUCAACAAAGAAAUGACUUAAUUCUUUCCAUUCAUAGUAUAUGAUUAUAAAAUUGAAACAACAACAAUGGAGGCAUUCAAGAGGAAACAACAUUCUUCAAUGCCGUAAGCAGCGGCGGCCACGGUGAAUGGUCAGUCCAUUAACAUUGCGAUGCAUUGAUGUCCUUUUCAUCUCCGACGAACAAAUCAUCGGUAGUUCUAAAGAAUCCGUGUGCCAAAACGACCGUCAAUCCGAAUGUAAUGCCGCUCAUGAUAUUACUCAUCACAUCGGUCAAGAAAAACACGGCGAUGGUAAACAAUGUCAAGACCGUUAUGAUCAUGUUACGGUCGAUGACAAAGCCGUAAAUCGAUAAAGGGUUGUCGCGUAAAAAGUAUUGUAAAAACCACGCGAUCAUUAUAACGACAAUGAUCACCAAUGAGGUUGGGUGGAAAAACAAAGUGAGGAGGAGGAGAAAAAGCACGACAAUCACAUAAUUCGUCUUGAAAAACACGAUAUUUGUUCUAAUUCUCCCUACCGCUUCGUUUAUAUUCGGGGGUAAGUUUAAUGCUCGAAUAUUGAUCAUGUCUUCCCAUUUUCUUCGUGAGCCGAGGCCUGAUCCGAGAAAUUCUCGUGCUUGAACAAUUAAGCUCAAUGACUGUUGUGGUAACUCGGUCGGAAUGGUUCCAUAUGUUGUCAUUUCUUUUUAAUUUUAAUUUUUGAUAUGCAAAGAGUUUUUGGCCUUGAGGGCUAAAUGUCAAAGAAGGAAGAAAGAUGGAAGAAAAUAAACAAAAAAUAAAGGGAACAAUUUGGUUUGUUGUUAAUUGCUAACUUUGAGGUCAAGUUUUGAUGGAAGAAAUAAACAAAAUUUUGUUGUUUAAUUUUGUGGUUUAAAGUUAACCCACGUUGGUUAAGUGUUUAGGUGAAUUCGUUACAUAAAUUAGUUCAAGAUCUUAUCUUAUUCGUGUAUUUAUUUUUAAAUGAUGAGAUCUAAUAAAUUUAAAGUUUGAAUUUCGAUAUUUAUAACAUGUUCUUAUUAGAAUUGAAUCCAAUUCAAUUUGACUUUAAAAGAAAUUCAUAAUGAAACCCAUUAUUUUCAUAAUCGGAUAAGAUCAGUUGGUUAAAUCAAGAAUCGAUACUAGUUCAGAAUAAGAGGUUAGAUUGGUUGAUCUAUGAACCGAUUGCACCAAUCAAACUGACGAUUAAAUCAGUUGAACUGAUUUUUUUCUUUCUUUUUUUUAAGUUUACCCGUGUUGCGUUUCCUGAUUACUUUUAGAUUUCUUUUUGUGAAAUCGGGCGAUUGGAUCAACUUGAAGAUCACACUAUUCGACUAUCUUUUGAUAUAUAUUAAAAUUAAUAUAUUUUAGUUUUAUGGCGUAUAAUAGGACUAUCUUGUAAUUAUAUAUAAAUAUUUAUUAUAAGUGACAUGUUUUUAGCUUGUAUAUAAGUGUAUGUUUGUGGUUAAUAAUGUGAUUCAUCAUGGAUUAGUAUAUGAUGAUGUAAUGGUUUGGACUUGUAUUGGGAAGAUAUAAGUAUAGUAGAUAGAAUGGUUGAGUGUUAAAGGUAUAUUUGGUUAUUAGAUGCUUGGUUAAUGGUUAAUGAAUAUGAAAUGGUACUUUGAUUGUUGAUUUUGAAAAGUUUUAGUUAGAUUAAGUGAAUUGGUAUAUGUUGCUAAAUGACAAAAACUAAAACUAAAAUAAGUACUUCUGGAAAAUAAUAAAAUAAAUAAUACAUUAAAUUUAAAAAAUAAAUGUAACUAUCUAAAAAAUUUAACUCCGUAAACAAAUUUCUCAUAAACAAACGUGUGAAAUAUUGAAAUCUUUUGAAAGAAAAGAAAGGUUAAAACCUUGAAUUUGUUUAUUAAAUCAGUUAGAAAAAAACAGUUUGAAAAAAAAAUCAAAGGUUGAUGAUAAAAAAAGGCUCAAAAUACAAUUAAAACUAUUUUGACAAAACAUACAAACGUUAGUGGCUAAAUUUAUCUUUAAGCCUUUUAAAUUUAUUGUUUACUUAUAAAUAUUGAUGUGAGCUUAUAUUCUAAAUAGAAUACUCACUAAAGCAGCUACGUAUAAUUUUGUUUUUGUUUUUGAUUUAUUCUUAAUGGUCUGACAAACUAAAAGGUAAAGCUCGAUAUGGCAAGUUAGCAACCAUAUGCAAAAGAUUAGUAGGUCAAGACUCGAGUAACGAAACUUGUGCGUGGUGUCAAAUUAGCAAUGACUCCCUCGGGUUGACGUGCAUAGAGAAGCCUGUUGGAAAAAAAUAGAAUUUUUGGAAGCUUUAAGGCAUAUUCUCGAUUAGUAAAAGUGGAUAUUUGAAUAAUAAAAUUAUAGUUUUAUAUUCUAUCCCAUGAGACCUUUUAUGUUGAGGAAAAUGGACAGCAUAGUCUCACAUUAGUUAGAUAUCAAGUGUGGAAUAUGUUUAUAUAUAUAUGAAUCAACUUGGUGGUUAUUGAACUUGUUUUCGGGCCGGGCCUAAAAUUUUGGUUGGGUCUAACCCGACCCAUGUACACCUCUAGUUAACACUGCAUGUAUAUCUUUUUGGAUAAAAUUUUUUAUUAUUUUCAGAAAAAUAAAAUUUUAACAGUUUUAUUUUUCCAGUUUAUUGUCUAAAAAAUUGGUAUUUUUUUACUAUUGGGCACGAAAAUAGUGGAGUUGUUUCAAAUAGUUCUUGCAUUUUUUUUUACUUUUUUGCUCCUAUCUAUUUACCGUUUUGCCCCUCUGUUACUAGUGUAAAUAGAGGGUCAAUUUAUAUGUUUCUUCAACUUAAAUUUUUUGGUUUGUUGUCUUUUGCUCUCUUUUCUUUGCUUGAGCACCAAAAGUAUUGCUACUUCUUUUGAAUCGAUUGUAUAUCAUUUAAAUCGAUUUUUUGUUUCUUUAAACUGAUUUUUUUUGUUGAUUGAACCGAUUCUUUUUACUUUUUGAAUCGAUUCAUUGGUAUUUAAACUCGAUUCAAAUGCCAACAAAAAUAAAUAAAUACAAUGGAUUUCUAUGAAUGGUAGCAACAAGCGGUAAGUAUAUCUUAACCUUGAACACAAGGGUAUUAGUAGGUAUAUUAGACAAAGUAAAUGAGCUAAAUUUUUGAAAAUAAAAAUAUAGAGACUAAAUUCUAAAUUUAUGGAAAGUACAUAGACUUAUGACAUUUAACAUUCAUACUACAAAAUAUUUAUUAUUAAUAUAUUUAUAAUUGUAAUAAAUAUUUAUUAUUAAAAUAUUAAUAUUAAAUAUUUUUCAGUAAUAUAUGAAGAAUAUAAUUUAAAAUUUAUUAUUGAAAUAUUUAAUAAUUUAUUAAAAUAAUAAAACAUCAUAUGAUUAGAUAUAGAUAAUUAAAUAUGUAUGUUUACUAAUAAAAGUUAUAAUAUUUUAUAUUAAUAUUUUAAAAAUAAAAAUUUAUUAUUAAUAUAAUAGUAUUAAGCUUGAUUUAAGUUAAUUUUUAUACAAAAAUAAAAUCACCCAUAAAAGAGUUGUGUUUCCACUAUUUUACUAUUGUUUUUUUGUUGUGUUUUGUUGUUGUUUUACUGUCGUUUUGCUGUCAUUUCGCUGUUGUAUUGUUACUAUUUUAUUGUUGUUAUUGUUGUUUAGAUAUUAUGUAAUGACCCAAAAUUUACGGGCAUCAGAAAAGUAUAAUAUCGGGCCUCCGUCUUAGUAAACUGAGUCUGAAAAUAAUUAUUAGAAAUAUUUACUAGACUAGUUGUGUAUUUAAUUAGGUUUUAGAAAGGUGAAUUUAGCUUAAUUAAGAGUAAUUAGGAAAAAGGAUUAAAAUGAAUAAAGGGUAAAAGUCUAAUUAUAAAUCAAAAGAAAAUAAAAAGGAUUAAAAUGGUAAUUAAGCCAUUAAUAAGAAAUGGGACGGUAAAAGUGAUAAAAAUCUUAGAUUUUUAUGUUUUAUAUAUAUUAUUUUAUUAUAUAAUAUAAUAUAUUAUAUUGUAUUAUAUUACAUAAAUUAAAUAGAUGACAAAUGUAUGGUAAAAAUUAAGACAAGUGUAAUAGUAAUAAUUACAUAGGUACACUUGUAAUAAAAAUAAAUAUAUAUGCUUAAAUAAUAAGUAAAAGAUUUUUAUUAUUAUUAAUAUUAUUAGUUAUAAUAAAAGAAAAAAAGUAAAGUAAAUAAAAGAAAGUAAAGAAAUAAAAACAAAAGAAAAGAAACAGAAUAGAAAGAACAAAGAAACAGAGAAGCAAACGAAACAGGGGAAGAAAGAAGAAAAAAGAAAGAAAAAGGGAAAAAUAGAUUUUUUUAAAGCUUGGAGUUAAUUAGCCCUUUUCUCUUAGUUCUAAUGUUUUAAAAGCUUUAAAACAAAGUUUUGAUGGAAUCAAGUUGAUAUUUUGUAAGUUCAUAGGUUUUCAAGAAUAGUUUAUGUUGAACAAAAGAGAUGAAUUAGGGAUUAAAUUGAAGGAAUUUUAAGUUAGAAUCGAAAAAGGGAUUAAAUUGUAAAAGAAACUAUAAGUUUUAUGUUUUAAGGACUAAAUUUAGAGAAAUUCGAAAUUAGCAAAAUAUGCUGAAAUUUUGAUAGUUAAAUUUUAGUUUGGAUUAAAUUGAGAAUUAGGAAGAAAUUGAAUAGAAAUUCAAUUAUUUAUUAUAAUUAGUGCUGUAGUUAAUAGUAUAAAUUAUUAUUAUUUUCGUAGCUAAUAAAGAACCUGAGGCAUCGCCGUCAAAAGGAAAAGGGAAAGCUAUCGAGGACUAAAGCGGGGGAUUUACGGUUUGUAUUACUAUAAUUCAAAUUAUUUAUUUUAAAUGUUAAAUUUUAAUUUAUGUGUUUAGUAAAUGAAAUGUGAAGUAAGUAUUAAUAUUAGUAUUAAUAUAAAUAUUAGUAUUAAUAUAAUUAUUAGUAUUAUUAUUAUUAUGAGUGGGAAUUAAAUUGAAUAGUUGAUAUGAAAUAAUAUUUGAAUUGUUUGUUGAUUGAAAGUGGGAAAUGAAUUUGAAUCGAAUUGUGAAUGGUAUUAAAUUGUAUGGAAAUGUAUUGAGUUGUGAAAAUGUGUGAAUUUGUGAAAUAACUAUUGAGUGAAAGGUGGAAAAAUGAUUGAAUUGAAAAUGUGAGAAAUUGUGAUUGAAUUGAGAAUAUAUGUGAUUUAAAUACCCUAUUAACUAGUCGGGCUGAGUCGGAUAUAGUUGGCAUGCCAUAGGAUUGGAAGAGUUCAGGGAUACUUCGACCUCGAGUCGAUGAGACACUGGGUGUCACUAUAUUUCUUCGGAUAGAUUCGAUGAGGUACUGGGUACCAACUUACUUCGGCUUGGCCGAUGAGACACUGGGUGUCAACUAUUGCUUCGAACUAUCCGAUGAGGCACUGGGUGCCAUUCUGGUGUGUUUGGUUGGAUCCGUGUAUCCGCCAAAGUCCGAGUUUUGUUAAUAGGGUAAAUGAUGAAAUGAUAAACCGAACGAGUUGGUCAAACGAGCUAUUGAAAUGAUAUGAAAAAGUUGAAUUGUGGAUUGAAAUGUGAAAUGAGAUUGAGAAAUGAACCUAAGGUUCAUGAUUUAUUCAAACUCAAAUUGUGGAUAUACGAUAUUGGUUGAUGAAUUGCUAUUGUUGAAAUAUUGAAUUUAAAUUGUAUAUACGAAUUAUGCAUUACAUGUUUAUUAUUGUUAUAAUUUGAAUUAUGGUAAUACCACUGAGUAUGAAAUACUCAGCGUACGGUUGUUUCCGUGCGCAGGUCGAUAGAAGUCAAAGGUCCCGGUUCAGCAUCCAAAUUAAUCCCGACUUCAGCAUAACUUUGGUGAUGUAUAUUUUCUUUUGGUUAAUGUGGCAUGUACAUAGGAUGUAUAUAAAGGUUGUUAUGUUUUAAUAUAAAUGGUUAAAAAAAAUGUUAGUAUUAAAAGUUUAUGAAUUAUUAUGAAAGAAGUUUAUCUAUUUUGAUUUAUUUAUUACCUUGUUAAAUUUUAAAUUGAUAUUAUGUUGAUUGAGUUUGAUUAGAAGUAAUUAGAAUAGAAAAUGUGAAUGUGGAAUGAAUUGGUUGAUUUGGUUAUAUUUGGAAAAGAUAUGGUUUUAAUUGCAGGGGGUUCUAUGUAAAAAUAAGCAGAAAUGCUGCCGAAAUUUUUAUAAAAUUUAUAAAAAAAAAGAGAUGAAGUCAAUUGGUAAAUAAACAUAUGAUUUUAUGAUUUUAUUUCAAUAUGUUUGUUAGUUAUUUAAGAGUUCUUUUUGUAAACCGUCUGAUAUGUCCGAUAAUGCCUCAUAACCCUGUUCCGGCGAUGGUUCGGGGUUAGGGGGUGUUACAUAUUAUAUAAUUCCUGUUUUAUUGUUAAUUUUGCUAUUAUUUUAGAGGUAUUUGUUAAAGUUAUACCUAUUUUAGUGUUAUUUAAGUAUACUUUUUAAAUUUAUUUUCAAUUUGUUGAGAAACAUUUAUCUUAAUGUUUUUAGUGUAUUUAAUGUAUUAUAUUUUAAAACUUGUUUUAAUAUGAAAAACUUAUAUAUAAAUAAAUUUAAUAUGGAUGGGUUGGACUCGAAUUUUAGUAUUUUUAUCAAAUGGGCCUGAAAUUUUGUUAUGAUCCAGCCUGACCCAUGAUCACCUCUACCAAGUUUCCACCUCCUUAAAAAAAUGAUUUGGUUUUUACACAAUUGCCCUUAUUUUUCCUCAAUUUACAAGUUUUUGAAAAAAUCAGUCCAUACCCGCUGGAUGUCUUACCUUCAGUAUGUCGUCAUUGGAGAGAUCUAUUAAGAAGCCCUCUUGCACACUCGAGGUUUCGAGUAGAUGGUAAACUAUUCUCCCUUUUUUUAAAAGGUUUAGUCGUAAAAUAUUUAGUCUCUUAUUUACAUUUGAUUUGUUUUGACAGGUGUUUACGUGUGCAAGAAGGCAAGUGCUAACCCGUAUGAUCAGGUAAGCUAUCUUCAAAUAUAAAUAAUCAAAAAUAUUUUGUACUUGUUUUUUUUUAUUUUUAUCAAUAUUUUAUAGGCAGUGGAAUCUUUUCUCAUCCUAUGACUUUCUCCCUUUGGCAGCGUAUUUUAUAAGGUAGGUUCUCUCUUAUAGAAUAGAUUUUUUGUUGUUGAUGAUAUACGUUAUUGUUAUCUUCUUUUUUUUCGUUAUUAUCACACUAAAAUCAAUAAUUGGUGGAAUGGGCCCUGCCCUAGAUAUUUAUAAAGGAACAUAUAUGGUGUCCAAAAAUAAUAUGGUUUGUUCUUUCUUCAAACUAGUUCUGUGUUUUUUUUAACUAUUUAAAAUAAUAUGUUUUUAUGAUUGGCAAAUUAACAUUGAAAUCUAACACGGUAGUUUUGAUGAUAUUUUAAAGAUCGACUUUAUGUAGGUUUUUUGUUGGCUUUGUUUUGGUGUCAGUUUUUGGAAUAUUGUCUUGUCAGCUUGAUUAAUUUAUUUUUCUAUCUGCAAAUCUGAAUUUGAAGGCUGAACUUCUUCGAAAAUAUCACACAUGCUGCUAAAUGAUGCGAGAAGAGAGCUGAAUUUGUUUAGUAUUAGUGAGUGCAGGGAACGAUACUCAAACUUUAAAUUUUACUUAAAAGUUAUGCAACAACAUUUUAUUUUAUUUUAUUUUUCAAAAUUUUCAUUUUAAAUCAUGCCACAUAAGGGAAGAGAGUCCUCUGUUUAUAGACAAAGCGUUAAAACAUCAACGGUUAAGAUUAAGUUACAUGGUCCACUAAAGAUGGUGGAGAUCUAAUCUCAACUAACUCCCAGCCACUCAUAAUAAAUGUUAUAUAAGAAGUGUGAUCAAGUGUGGACAAGCCUAUGUACAUCCAUCUAGAAUCUUCCAAAGGUUUUGUAACACCCAAACCUAACUCGAUCAAUGGAUCCGAGUAUGGUAUGUCACAACUUAAAGAUAUGUGAAUUUAAUAAAGAACUCUUAAAAUUUUUGAAAGCAAUGAGGUCUUGGCGUAUACCUCGAAUUUGGUAUAAACCCUAGUAAAUUAUUAAAAUUUUAUUAAAAAAAAUUUAUUGUUCGAUUCAAACAUUAUUUAUUUUAAUGUGAUAGUGAAUAUUAAUUUUGAUUUAACCCAAAAAGAAAUAUGAUGAAUUUCGAAUAGACCUAAGGUUAAUUUUUAAAAAAAGUUUGAGGGAGCUUCAAUUCUUCAAUUGUCCGGGUCUAAUAGGGUUGAAGUUAAUCCUCUACCCCAUAAUAAUUACCAAUAUAAUAUUUCUAAUAUGAUUACAUCUAGAAAACAAUUAAUAUCAUUAAAAAAUUAAAAUUUAUUAUUCUAUGUUGAUAAAUAAAUAAAAUAAAACUGUGGCACAAAUUAUUAUAGAAUGGCACAUUCGAAAAUUUAACGCAUUUUAUGAUUGAAGUCAAAGAGAAUUUCUUUUAAGAUUUAUCUUCCUUAUUGGGAACAUUCAUCUAAUUUGGUUUCUUUCCUUCUAAUGGUGAGUUUGGAUGAGCAGUGCGUUUACUUGCGGUUAGUGUAAAAAUAGCGGUGACGGUGAGAUUAGAUACUGUAGCGUGAGACAAAAAGUAAACUAAACGCACCGCACCCAGUCGCGCAUCCAAACCCACCCUAAAUUAGGUAUGUACAUCACAUGUCAAUAUGUUUUCACCUUGUUUUAUUUAUUAUCUAAUUUAUAUGAUAUGAAAUUAAACUUUUUAAAUUUUAUAUCUUAAAAAAAUCUUUUAAUAGUAUGUACUUGGAGAAAAAUUUUCAAAAAAAUAAAAUAAAAUUGAAGGAUUGAAUUAAUGGUUAUUACAGGAAUCAGGAAUGUUGAGAGGAUGAAUUUGCAACAAUCGUAUUGCCAAGCAACGUUUCAUACAGCAAACUUGAGACAGUUAUAUUCAUUGAUUGCUUUGAAUUUUUUGGAGAAAGCAUGAAUUUUGAAGAAGUUGAGUAUAGGUUAUGAUCAUACCAUUGAUAUGACUGAAAUGCUUAUUGUGUUCCACUUUUUAGAGAAAAUGUUGAUCUCGAAGGAGCUAGUUAUAGGUUUAGGUUACAAUAUAAACAUUGAUAAGAAUAAUAGGUUCGACUUUUAUUAUACGAAUGUAUUAUUUUUGAAGAAGGUUAUGAUAUAUAGGGUGGGUUUGGAUGCGCGAUUGAGUGCGGUGCGGUGCGUUUAGUUUACUUUUUGUCUCACGCUACAGUAUCGCUACAGUAUCUAAUCUCACCGCCACCGCUAUUUUUACACUAACCGCAGGUAAACGCACUGCUCAUCCAAACUCACCCAUAAUCAAUCAUAAUAAUUGGUGCAUGUUUCUCUUUGAUUUUUAACUUUAAUUUGUUUACUUUUUAUGGUCAAAUUUAAUUUUGAAUUGAUUUUUUUGAAUUUAUAUCAAAAUUAAUAAAUUUAUUUCAAAUUUUAAUGGUGAUCAAAUCGAAUUAAAUCCAAAACUGUUGUAUUUGAGUUUAGGUAAGGUCAUUUUUUUUUCAUAAUUUUCAUUUAUUUUGAGGAUGCUUAAAUUUUGUGCUUAAAAAUAGGAAAAGAAUUUUUGAAAUUUGAUUAAAUUUAUUAAAUUAAAUUAAUUUAAGUUUAAAAUGUAAUAGUAAAAUUUGAUGCAUCGUUAAAAUUAAAAUUAAAAAAAAUUCAAUUGUGUUAUGAAUAUCGAUGUCCAUCAAGAUCAAGAUAAGUUUUAAUCUACUUUAAAUUCUAAUAAUCAUUAGAAGUAGAUCAAUUUAAAUUAACAUUCAUAAUUUAAGGAUUUCUAGUGCAAUUAAUCCACAUGAAUAAUUAAUGUUAAAAUAGUUAAUGGGUCCUACCUACACAACAAAAAUGGUGUGCGAAUCUCCUACUGUGGUGGAUGUCUUUUGGCCUCCUUUUCAGAGUACAAUUUGGCGAGGUGGCACGAACUGAUUGGCUCAAUUUGUACUCCAUUUUGUUAAAUUUUCUUUUUUUUUAAAUAAUAGUUUGACAAUUUAAUAUUUUAAAAACACUGAAAACGAGCAAGGUACGAGAAAGGACAUUUUGAUAGAAAAGAAUAAGACACGUGGAUACCAAAAAAAUAAAAGGGAAAACGACGCCCAAGACCACUAAACUAUUAGUAAAUUUAUAUUGUAGUCACUUAAUUUUAAAAAGUUACAAAGUUGCUAUUAAAUUAUUUAAAAAUUUUCAUUUAAGUCAUUGGGCUAUUAAAAUCGUUGUCGUAUAGCCUUCUCCAUUCAUACUACCCAAGCCAAUGAAAGCUCUCAUUCACAUUCUCUUCUACAGUUCAAUGUUUUUCUCAUGAAAUAGUUUUGAAGUUGUGAAUUUGUGAACCAAAAUCCUAACAACUUUCUUCUUCAAUCUCCAAAACUAACUAUCAAAUCGCCUUGAAUUUAAGGCACGUUCUUCUACUUGUCGAUAGGUACUGAUCCACUGUACCAUUCAUUGAAUUAUCGUUUGGAGCUCGCUAGCCAAACUUUAAAAAAAAAAAGAAAAAAAACUCAAUAUCUUAAAUAAAAACUUACGAAUAAUUCAAAGACCAGUUUGUAACUUUUUAAAGCUGAGUGACCAAAACGUGAACUUAUUAAUAGUUUAGUAAUAUUGUGUGUUGUUUACCCAAAAAAUGGCUUUUCCUUUUAUACUUAAAAGAGUCAAUUUUAUUAUAAUAUUAUAGUAUACUUAAUAUUUGUUUAAGCUCGGUUCAACUUGAAAUAUAAGUAUCAAAUUUUACUUGAAUUUAUUUAUAUUUGUAAAUGAUUAACUCAAGUUUGAUUUUGGUUUGCUCAUAUUAUUUUUUAUUUAAUUUUAUAUUCUAAUAUUUUGUAUUAAAAUUUUAAAUAUGGGAAAUUAUGCAAAAAGUCUAAUAUUUAUAUUAUAGUGUCAUAUAUUAUUAUAAACUUAAUUUUUAUGUGAUAUAAAUUAUUUAAUAUGUAAAAUUAAAUAAUAUAUAAUACAUUAUUAGAAAACGAGACGGCUCAAGGUUAGGUCUUAAAUGUUGGAAUCCAAACUAAAUUCAUAUUUUAAAUGGAUUUAAUUUUUUUUGUUUAAAUCCAUUUUUCAAAUCUAAUAUUUUUGUCUAAACCCAUUCGAAUUUCAAAUAAAAUUUUGAAAUUAAACGGAUAACUUGACCCUUGAACAGGUCUGCUCUUGCACUUACCCACAUGGUGACAUCUCAUUCAAUAAAUAAGACUAAUUAUGGUAAUUGAUUUUGGAAGACGGUUAUUAUUUUAAAUAAUCUAAUUAAUAAAAAAAUUAAAGUAUUUUAAAAAUAUUUUACCCCAAAAUAUUAUGUUUUUUUUCAAAUUUUAUCUCUAGCAACAUUAUAAAAAUAAAAAUUUGGUUAUCAGUGUUAAAAAAUUAUAAAAAUAAAAGGACAAAAUUAUGUAAAAUUAAAAAAAAACAGGGAUUAAAAUUUAAAUUUCAGCCAAAUAUGACCUACUUUUUAAAUAUUAUUUUAAAUAAGGUUAAACAAUGAUUAGCCAUUUCCCUAAACAGAAAAUAUAGGAGAAUGCAGACAAGUAAAAGAAAUGGAAAAGCAAAAUAAACGUGGGAAUCUCUCUCUAUAUAUACAUAUAUACAGCUUAGAACACUGAAUUUCUCCGCCAUUAAUUCCUUUGAAAAUCUCUGAAAACCACUCAGAUUGUUCAAAAGAAAGAAUCAAUGAAAAUGGAAGAGUCGGCGGCGGAGAAAGAGAGCACCGGAGCCGCCAUUCGCUACGGAGACGAUGAUCAGAAAGCUUCGUUAGAAGCAAAGGAAAUGAGUGUCGUCGAUGAUAUGAUCAAUGGUGGAGAUUUAUCGUCGUCUUCAACGGAUAUUUUGGUGAAGCCAAUGGAAGGGAUAAACGGGUCGGGUCCACCGCCAUUUUUGACGAAAACGUUUGAGAUGGUUGAAGAUCCGGAAACCGACCCGAUUGUUUCGUGGAGUAUCCAUCGCAAUAGCUUCAUUGUUUGGGAUUCUCAUAAGUUCUCUGAAAAUCUCCUUCCCAAAUAUUUUAAGCACAAGAAUUUUUCAAGCUUUAUUCGCCAACUCAACACUUAUGCAAGUCAUUUUAAUUUAACCCCAAUAUUUCUCUAAAUUUUGCAGUGAUUUUUUUAAAAAAUAAUACAAAUUUCCGGGUUUUCUUCAGGGGUUUAAGAAGAUUGAUUCUGAUAGAUGGGAAUUUGCAAAUGAAGGGUUUCAAGGAGGAAAGAAGCAUUUGUUGAAGAAUAUUAAGAGGAAAAAUAGAUAUAAUUCAAGUAAUAUUAAUACUGAAUUGGAAGCUGAGAUUGGGAUUUUGAAGAAAAAUCAGAGUGAAUUGAAGAUGGAAAUUAUGAAAUUGAAGCAAAAAAAUGAUGAAUCUAAUGAUAAACUGGAAGCUGAGAUUGGGAUUUUGAAGAAAAAUCAGAGUGAAUUGAAGAUGGAAAUUGUGAAAUUGAAGCAAAAAAAUGAUGAAUCUAAUGAUAAACUGAGUGUUUUCGAAGAUAGGAUUCGAUUUGUUGAGCGUAGGCAACAACAAAUGUUGAAUUUCUUAGUUAAAUUAGUGAAAUUCCCCAUUUUGUUUCAGCAAUUGAUGAAGAAGAAACAUGUGGAAAAGAAAGAGCUUGAUGAAGGGGAAUUUAGUAGGAAGAAAAGGAGAUUGCUUGAGACACAAGUCACUAAGAGUUUGCUUGAGCUUAUGGGAACUGAUCAAACGGUCACAAAGAGCUUCAAUGAACCUAUGGAGACUGACCGGAGGGGGACCAAGAACUUGCCUGAGCCUAUAGGGAGGGUCACCAAGAACUUGCCUGGGCCUAUGGGGAAUAGCCAAAGUGUCACAAAGAGCUUGCCUGAGCCUAUAGGGACUGACCAGAGGGUCACCAAGAACUUGCCUGAGCCUAUGGAGACUGACCAGAGGGUCACCAAAGACUUGCCUGAGCCUACGGGGACUGAGCAAAGUGUCCCAAAUACCUUGCCUAAGCCAAUGGAGACCGACCACACAAAGACCUUGCCUGAGCCUAUGGAGAUUGGCGAAAGUGUCAGCAACUCUAAAAACCAAGUUGAUCAAGUGCUGGAACCAAUGCAAUCUGAUCACUUCUCAAAGUUUUUGCUUGAUUGUAUGGAGAAAGACUAUUGGGUUUCCAUGGAAGAUCAAGAGAACAUCGAUGCACAAGAAAUGUCAUCUGUUUAUCAUGUUAUGGCCGAAAACCUAUUAGGCGAAAGCUCAUGUGUUGAAAAUGCAACAAAUGAAGAGUUAUCAGUGAAUGAUUCCAAGGUUUAUCUUGAAUUGGAGGAUUUGAUCAAUUGGAAACCCUCUAACUUGACUGGAUUGGUCAAUGAUCUGCUAGUGGAACAAACUGGCUGAUACAACUAUAUAUCCGACACAGGUUUGUUCUAUUUCAUCCUCUAUGUACCAUCAUAUCUCAUAUCUAUAUCUGUAUCUGAAGUAAACAAGGAUAUCGUACAUGCUUUCUUAAUGUAGAUGCCAUUGGUUGCAGGAAGGUGACUGCAAGUGUAUCGAGGCUUGAAGCUGAAAGCAACAAAGGUUUAUAUAGCUCUCUAUAUUACUGCUUUCCUUAAGAUUGUGAAAACUUCAAAUCAUAUAUAACAGUAUAUAUAUACAACAAUGUCUAGUCCUUUUUAACAUAUAUAUACAUAUAUAUAGUUAUAUACCCUUUACCCUUUAUUUAUCAAAUUCUGCUACUUCACUUAAAAGGUUAAAAAUUGAAAUCAACGGUGUUACAUAUUUUGAUGCUUGGCUUACUUGCAAUUCAAGGAACUUAUGGAUUUUGUACCUCCCUCUUACUUGUUUAUGUGUUCUUUGUACUUCAGUUUUAUUCUUAUGAUUAAUUCGAUAGUUAGGGGCUUUCUCUUGUUUUAUUUUUUGUUAUCCAACCAUUUCCUUUUUUAAAAAAAAUGAAAAUAUUUGUUUCUUUCUUCUUUCUACUAACAUAAAAGAAGUCAAGAAUUUUCUGUUUCAAGAAAUUUGUAUAUUUUUCAGGGAAAAAACAAGUCAUUUUUGUUUAUGCAAUUAUCCAAAAUUAAAACUCAUCCUUUAUUAAUAAAAAUAUUUUUAUCUAGAAUUAAUUAUAAAAUUAAUAUUUAAAUAUUAUUGUGAACAAUAAUAUUCUCUUUAAAAUUGUCCAACCUUUGUCCUAUCCAAACUAUGGCUUGAUUCAUAAGCAAAUUUAAAUUAUACAUGUCCAGACUUGAACUUAACCCAACCUGAAAAGCCAUUUUCACUGUAAAUUAUAAAAUAUUAAAAAAAAUUUGUAAAUCUAAAUAAUUUUUUUAAUUCCUACCUGAGAUAAGAAAAUAGAAAAUAUAGAAAAAGAGAACAAAAAUACUGUUGGAGAACAAAUACCACGGACAACAUUUUAAGCACAACAAAGAUAUUUUUCUUUAUUUUCUGUCCAAGACCUACCAAGAUGGGCGGGCUGCUCGGCCCAUAACGAUAUAAACUAGAUCGAACCGCUAGGAAUUAUCAUAACUAAAUUCUACAAAUUUUCACUUUUAACUUAUUUUCUUCUGCUAAUAAAGCCUAAGUUGAUAAAUAAAACUAUUACCAAAACCAAAAUACACAAUUCAAGAUUUGAUUUUUAUAAAUUACUAGUAUUAUACCUUAGGGAAGAAAAUUACUAGUGCUACAAACUAUAAAAGGAUUGUAUUAGGCUUUUCUGGUUUUUAAGCGUUUUGCCACUACUACUAUUAGUUCUAGCAGUGAGCUGUACCUUUAGGCCUGGUCACAACUAUGGAUUUUGAUGAAGAUGAAGAGGAGAUGGCUGACCUGUCAAACUCCUCUUUAUCUUCAUGGAAUGCCUUGCUUAGUACGUCUUGGAGUUCCAUGUAUCUCUGCCUUUUAACCACUCGUUCCUCCGCGGUAUCAUUCCCUCCGCAAGCUAGCUGCGAUAGGUCGUCCGCGUCCAUGAUCUUGCUCAACACUUCGGAGCAACGAGGAAAAAAUCGCUUCCCGAGUUCCACUGCCGGAGAUAACACAGAAAAAGAGGGUUAGCUUCAAUUUUGCUUAUCGAAAAGAUUGAUUUUUUCUAAAUCAUAUUAAUGCAAAUGAUAUUAACGUGCGGCAAAUAUUCAGACAUAAAUAUAAAAAUAUAAUCUUCCAUGAUAAAACAUAUAAAAAGUAGAGCAGCAAUACUCAGCUAUUUAUACAUCCGCUUAUAUCAUCUAGAUGGAAGCCUCUUGUAUUAAGAAUUGGAUUGUAUUUUAUCUCUUUUACUUAGAAAAUAAAUAAAUUAAAAUAGAUAUUUAAAUAUUAAUAUUUGUGUCCACUCCAAAUCUAUUAUAAAUAAUAAUUAAAAUAUUUAAAUCUAAAUAGUAUCAAUGGUAUCCAAAUUCAAAUUUCACGAUCCCAACCAUCAUUAUGAUCCUAGUGACAUUUAAGAGGGCAGCAUGAAAUGUUAGUGAAAAAGCAGUACCUGUUCUGGAAAGUGCUUUGAGUCUAUUUAAAUGCUCCUCUUGAAUCCUGAAAGGUGCCUCAUUCAAGUCCACUGUUGUUUGAGCACCAUUUAAUUUAUUGGAAUUGAUGGUAGCAAAUGUGAACUCCGAUGUUCCAUCCACUUGAGCUAUAUCCAUCACAACUUUAGCUUCCAUUGGGAAUAAAAGUUUCGCUAGCCCAACUGCAAAAGUUACACAAAUAAUAACACAACCUAGUAAGCUAUGUUCUUUGGAUUCUUCAUUUUUUCAAGAACAUUCGUGUCCGACAUCCGUGUUUAACAUAUGCAAGACAUGGGUAUAUAUCAGACUACAUGGAAAUGAAGAGUUGGAGCAAAAAAUUUACCUCUAUUUUCGAGAUACAACAACUUCAUCCGAAGAUCAUCACCAGCGAUGGCAAGAGACAAAGAAGCUUCACCAUGCAAUGGAUCUCUUCUUUCAGCUUGCUCUAGUAUCUCUAUACACAACCUGUCCUUCGGCGAAGCCUUACCUUCCUCGGUCGAUUUAUAGUAAUCGGCAGCCCGGGUGAGCCGCUUCGAUAUUUGAAGAGCUUUUCUACCAUCGAUAGUGAGAUCGGAUGGUCGUGCACCUUUCGUUAAAAGAGAAACUAUAAUCUUAGGCUCUUUCCUCAUCGCGGCAACAUGCAACACUGUGUACCCUCUCGAGUUCCUAUGGUUAACAUCAGCGAGUCCAAGGUCGAGCAACUCAGUCGUGGUCUUUGCGUCACAGUAUGCCACAGCGUAGUGAAGCGCAUAUGCUUCGUCUAAAUUCGUAUGACCCUCUUUCAGUAGCAUUCGAACUAACUCGACGUCAUCCGAUUCCAGCGCCCGAUGAAUCCGCCGCACAUGUUUAUCGGGAAAACCUACGUUCUCGGGCUUGUCUAAACUGAGUUCCAGACGGGAAUCAAUGAUUUGUUUCACAAUGGGUUGAGGCAAGGCUUUGUCGAGUGUUACAAUAUCAACAUCGGAUUUCACAACGAUUUCUACACACUUUGACACCAAUUUUUCACAAACAUUGCCGCACAUAUUUGCAAUGUAAAGAACCACCAAGAUAUCAUCUACGGCGACCCAGUCGAUGAUGUCCAGUAGAUGUCUCUGUAAAUUAAAAAACAGAACAUAAAUUCUGAAAACUUACAAUACUCUGUUCUGUUUUUCUAAUUGCUUUUUUGAUUCCUCGUCAAAUCACAAAAAAGGAAGAAAGGACUAAAUUAUACUACCAUUAGUUCACACAUUUAUCUCUGAAUUCCCAUAUUUUUUUAGUACUCAUAUUUAGCAAUCAUAAUCCAAGUAACGUAGCUUAAAUCAUACAAUUUUGUUAUUAAGAGACUCUGAUUUUUUAGUUAUUCAAAUAUGUUACUAAAACUCAAUAGUAAAUAUUAAAUAUGAAUAUGUGUUGGAGUAUAUUCAAUUUUUUUUUCUAUUCACAGAAAUGCCUAUGAAUGCUCAAUUUACAAAUAAUUUUUUAUAUCUGAAAAUCAACAAAACUUGCUAAUGUUUAACAGUGAUUAGUUAUUAGAACGAUUAUCUAAUUUCUCCGAAAUUGGAAAUUCAUACAAUAAAUAAUCAAUUUAAACAUGAUUAAGAUUCAAGGGGGAAAAAAUAAGCUAAAAUUUGUUGCAAUUUACUGACCUGAUAAAGAGCAAUUAAUUCAGGGACCUGAAAAACGAACGCUGCAUAUAAAACUUCAGCAAUGAAAUCAACGGCCGGUCUACAUCCAACGUGCGAACAACCAUCGUCUACGCAAAGGCAAACGCCUUUAGGCAACGAUUUAACUUUUCCGGUAUACAAGUAAGCCAGAACGGCAACAAGCGAAUCAUAGCCGAUCUCAUAGUCUCUAGCCAACUCUUUGAGCUCAAACUUAGCUCCACUAUCUUUCAGCCCGGAGAACACGGUCUUAAACACCGAACUCCUCGCUGACAAAAUGCACCGGUGAACGGCCACCUCCCGACCGGAAGAUAGCGCGAUUUUUGCGUCGGAGUAAAAGUAAUCGGAAUCCGUCGAUUCGUAAAGGGACUCGAGGUUCUUGGAGAGGAGUUGAAGAGCGGCGACGUCCGGAGUGUUCAACGGUUCCGACGAAACAAGUGUUUCGGAGGUGGUUGUCGCAGCGGCGGGGACGAUACAGCACGUGGUGCUGUUGUUGUUACUGAUUUCGUUCGAAUCCGAAAAUCCAUUUCUAUGAUCCAUAGAAAAACAAAAAAAGAAACUAUUUGAAACUCAAAGCUACUUGUUUAGGUACCUGAAGAAGAAAGCAACGAUUCGCCAUGGAAAUUCUGAGAGGAAAUAAAAAGUCAAAGGAGAGAGAUUAAAGAAGAAGAGUUUAGCCAUUGAUGAGCUAGCAUCAGCUAGGAGAAGAAGAACAUGGCGUGACGAAGAACUUAAAAAUUAAAAAUUAAUAAAAAUAAAAAUUGUUAGAUACUCUUUUAUUGAAUCUAGGUUAAAUUCUUCUAUUAGUCCCUGUACUUCUCAAAAGUUAUCGAUUUAAUCACUGCACUUUAAUUUGAACAUUUUGGUCCCUUUACUUUUCAAAUUUCAAAAAUUCAAUCAUCAUCAUUGUUAAACUGAUUAAGUUAAUUUCUAUUAUUUUCAAAAUCUAAUGCGUCAACCACAUUAUUAUAUAUGUAAUGACUAGAGGUAAUCAUGAACCCAGCCCGGCCCAUUUUUUUAAUAAACAUCAAAAAUUUAUUUUAAAAAUAAAAAAUUUAUUUCAAAAAUAUUUUAAAAUUAAAAAAAUAAAAAAUAUAUUUAUUAUAUUCGGGCUGGGACGGGCUGGGCCAAAAAAGUGGUGCUCGAGGCCCGGCCUGUUUUCUAAACGGGCCUCAUUUUUUUGCCCAAACCCAUAUUUCAGGCCUAUAUUUUUAUUCGAACCCUCCCAUAUUUCGGGAGGGCCGUCGGGCCAGGCCGGGUCGCCCGGCCCAUGAUCACCUCUAGUAAUGACAUAUCAACUAGUAAUUGCGUUUAAAAUGGAUCUAAUUGCUAUUGAUUGGGUCAGGAUUAAAUUGAAAAUUUUAAAAAAUUAUAUGGACUAAAAUUGACAAAUUUUGAACGUAUGGAGGCUAAUUGCGAUCAAAUUGAAGUAUAAAGACUAAAUAGACUACUUUCAAAAAGUAUAGUGACUAAUAGAAGAAUUUAACCUUAGAUGUAUUAUAAUAUUUUCCAUUUUUUACAUGUUUUAAGAUUGCUCUUUAUUUUAAUAUAGAUUCAUGUGUUUUUCCCCGGCUUUUCGUCCGUACAUUAGGGCCACCUGUUUUGCCUUUUUUCUCAGGUUGCCUUUAUGAAUCUGGGAUUUGACGGCCCUGAUUUAGUUUUAGACUCAAAGUGGGAUAAUCAAUCAAGACCAGAAAGAAAAUUAAAUGUUCAAAUAUGUACCAAGUCCCUGUACUUUUUCUGAAUUCGGAAUUUAGUCCUUUAACUUUUCAAAUUUCAAAAUAUAAGUCCAAGUGUUAGUACCGUUAAAAUCUUUAUAUUAAAAUUACAGGUGUGACAUUUUGAAAUAAUAUGCAUUAGGUUCAAAAUUUACUCAAUCAAGUAUUAUAUUAUUCAAAUUCAACUUACUUUAUAGCUCAAGCUCAAUUUAAUAAUGAUUGAGUCGAGUUUAAACUUUUUUAAAAGAAAUUACAAAUUACGUGUACAAUUGUUCAAAUAUUCACUUACCAAUAUAGAUCAUUUUACCCUUGUAUUAAGAGUCAAAUUAUAUUUUGCCCCAUCUACUCAAAACAUGGGUAAAUUAGUCAUUAUACUUUAGAUGAAAAAGUAAACUGGUCUUUUUUGUUAAAACUUUCAUCAAUUGUUAAAAACUGGCAGUUACGAGUGGCGUGCCAUGUAUACCUCAUUUUGAUGUACAUGGACUAAUUUUUAACAGUAUAAAUAGAUAGGACAUUUAACAGAAUAAUCAGUAUGCUCUUUGAUCUAACAUAUAGAGACUAAUUUACUCAUUUUUUAGUAAAGGGAGCAAAAUACAAUCUAACACUUAAUACAAUAACUUCUAUAAUACUUUUACCACUAAAAUCAUUUUCAAGGAUAGGGCGGCUAAAAUGCGGCAAAAGUGCAAGGCUGAAAGCUUAACGUCAGUAACGGCAGUUAUCAAAGUUCCGUCACUGUUUUCUUUUUAAUUCUGGAUUUCAAUACUAUUUUAUAAAAAUUAAUCCAUUUGUUUUAAUUUGUAAUAAUUUAAUCCUCGUACAUCACAAAAAGCUAAUAAAUUAGUCUAAUUAUAGGUAAACACGUAAAUUUUACCUGCUUAUAUCUGUUAACUUGUUGAAGCAUAUAAAUGGCUCAACCACUUUUUUUUUUUAAUUCGUUACAUAUAAAUUUACCAACAAUGUUUAAUAAUUUUUACUUAAUUGGACUAAUUUCUCAAAUUUCAUAAAGUAAGAAGAACAAAUUUUGAUGGAAUUAAAGUAAAAGGACUAAUUCCUUAAUUUUUAUAAAGUAAAGGGAUGAAAUUUAGAAUUAGACUUUUUAAUUUGUAAUAUGUUUUCUUUGAGAUAUUUAUAUAGAUGGAUUUUUUUAUUACUAUCUAUUAGUUGUGCUUUAAUUUUUUAAAGUUCUUAUCCACUCCAACAUGGAUUUGCUUCCAAUCUAAAGUCAUCAAAACUUUGUUUGUUUCCAAUCAUUAUCGUUCAAUUUAUUUGGUCAAAUUCUUUUUUGGUGGCUCUAUUAUGCUCAAAUUUGAAAUCUAGCCCUUGUAUUUUAAUUGGGACAAUAUACUUUUCAGUUCUUGAAUUUGGCAACUAGUCUUACUUUGGUACUUGUACUUUUUUUUUAUCCACUUUUGGCACAUGAACUUGACAACUAGGUCCAUUUUAGUCUCUGAACUUGAAAAAUAUAAAAGUUUGAUGAUGUGGUACCCUGAUAUUGCACCAUAUCGUUACCUGAAAAUUUAUAAAUUUAAUAAUUGAUCCAAUGGUUGAAUAGAUCCGCCCAUCAAUUUUCAAUUCAACCAAUUCACUUUAUUCGACCAUUAGACCAACAAAUGAUAAAAAAAAUCAUAAAAAGCUAGAAAGCUAAAUUUAGAAAAAAAAUAAAUAAACUGGUUCAGCCGGUUCAAACCAUCGUCUAGGUUUUCAAUCUUUACCAAUUUCAAGUAAUUUUUUAUUCAAUUGGUUCAAGCCUUUUGCUUGAACUAUUAUAUUGAUAUGUUCUUGAUUUGUUCGAUCCAGUCUUGUUUCAGUAACAUUGGUCACAAUAUCAAAUCUUGACAUAAUCCACGUUUAAAGACUAAAAUGGAUCUGGUUGCCAAGUUCAAGGACCCAAAUAGACCAAAAAAAUUACAAAUACCAAAGUAAACCUAGUUGCCAAGUUCAGGGACAAUAGUUAUAUUAUCCCAUUUUAACUUGAUAUACUUUAUCAUUUAUUUAAUCAUAUCAUUAAUACAAACACAUGUUUAAAUUUCAAUUACAUGUUCUAAAUAUGUUUUAUGUCAAUAUCAAGCUAGCAUUUCACACCUAAGAUGACAGGUAGAAUGAUGGAAGGAUCUAGUUGAGACGAUACUGAUAUUUUGAGGAUUCAAUUAGAAUGUUUAAAAUUUUGAGAUCAGUUUAAAACAUAUGACAUCAUUUAAAGACUCUGAUGAAAUUAACCCAUUUCGUUUCGUAGUUUUAUAUUGAUAAACAAAUACGUAUGGAGGGUCAUUGGGGCUCUUUGUGCACAAAAAGAAGCCCACAUGGCAAAGCUAGACCAAGGUUGGAUAACGAAAACAAAAAAUUUAAGGAUGGGUGUUAAAAUUUUAAAUCAAAUUAAAAUUAAGAUAUGGGUAGAGGUAUUUAUGGGUCGAGUUUAAGUAUAAUAUUAGUAAAUUUUAUAUUUGUUCAAGCCUUGUUUGGUCCGACCCAAAAUACAUUUUUAAAUUUUUGCUCAAAUUUGUUCAUACUAACUCUUAUAUAUUUUUAUUUUUGAAGAGUCUCAUUACAAGUUCUAAUUAUAUCUACUCCUUUUGACACAAUGCCUAAAACUAAGCAUAACCCCUCCCCAAUUCAUAAAUAAGAAGAUAAUAUGCUUCAGCGUAUUCAAACUCACGUUCUCCUGCAUUUGCAACAAUGCCCAUACUAAUCAAGCUAAGACUCAAUCAACUUAUUUAUUAAAAUUUGUAUAUAAUUAUCUUAAAUUUUUUAUAUUUACAUUAUAGUAAUAUAUAAUAUUACUAUAGAUGUAAUUUUUAAAUGUUAAAAAUUACAUAAUAUAUAAAAAUAACAUAAUAUAAAAUAUUAUAAAUUUUAAAAAUGACCGAACCAAAUUAGAUUCGGGCUUUGAAUGAGUCCGACUCAUAUUUUAAAUGGGUUUAUUUUUUUGUUUAAACUCAUUUUUAAUAUCUAAUAUUUUUUUUUCAAUCCUUUUAAAUUUUAAAUAAACCUUUAAAUCUGAUAAAUCGAAUAUAAAAAAAUAAAGUCACGCAAAAAAAAAUCUUCCGCUGUGACAUCAGCUAUGAAAAACUCUAUCUAGCACUUAUAUUAAAAGGCGAUAUCGAAGACAGUGGAACAUUCUUAAUAUGGCCCCGUUGGUAUGAUUUAAUCAUCCAACAUUUACACAUGUUGUUUGCUUAUUUAUGAAGAAAACCAACCCAACUAAUUAAUAAUUUUUAUCAAACAUCUUUUUAGGUAAUAAUAUAAAGAUAUAUCUCUUUAAAUACGGGUAAUUUACUAAAAAAAACUUUUUUUUUAAAUUACCGAAAUAGAUUUAGUAUUUUAUUAUUUACCGGAAUGGACAUUUUUCGCCAAAUCGCGUCCACGUCAGCACGAUGUCAGGGGACGUGCCAGGAAAUCGCGUCCACGAGGGGGCGAUUUGUUGCCACAUCAACAAAGCGCGCUAACGUGGACGCGAUUUCCCCCCUCCCAACGGUCCAAAAAAAUAUAAAUACCCCCCACCCUUUGUUUUUCACAAACUAAUCCUCUCUCAAAUUUUCUCUCAAUUUUGGUGUUGAGAGGAAGCAUUGCAAAUAAUUAAAUAAGAUAUUUCGAAAGAAUGUGGAAAGGAAGACUAAAGCAUAUUAACGAUAAAGUUAAAAAAAAUAAAUUGAGAGAAAUUUUAAAAAGAAUUAGAGUCAAAAUUUUAAAGGGUGAAAAAGUUCUUUCAGAAUUAUUCAUAGUGAUUUAAAAAUAAGAAUUACAAAAUUAUUAAUUAAUAAAAAUAAUGAAAUAAAUUUUAAUUAUAAUGACAUUAAUGAUUAAAAACGGACGAUAAAAAUUUUCUAUUAGUGAUGGUUAAUAGCAAAAAGGAAUUCUUUUUAAGGAAAAGAAAAAAGAAAAAGAAAAGCAUUCAAACAAUAGGUAAAAAGAUCAACAAGAAUGUACAAAUUGAACGAACUUCCGAUUAUUGACCUGAUCAUGGCUUGGGUUGUCUAGCUUGAGUCGAAGGUCCGCCCGAAAAAUAGUAGGAUUUGAAUAAAAAUAUAAAUUCGAAAAAUGUGUUUGAAUAAAAAAUGAUUCUCGUUUUCUAAACGGAUCGAGCCUCGGGUAAAAGUUUUUGGCUAGGGCCCGAUCCAAAUAAAUUAAUUAUUUCUUAAUAAAAAUUAUAUUGUUGUUCCUAGUGUUUUGGUGCUGUUAUUUUUCUGUUGUUUUUUGUUGUUAUUUUUGCUAUUGUUUUUGUUAUUUGCACUGGCCAAUUUACCAAUAAAAAGCUUAAUUUUUUUAUAAAUUUACCGAAAUGGGCCCUGUAUUUUAUUAUUUACCAGAAUGGGCCAUUUUCCGACAAAUCGCGUCCACGUCAGCGUGAUGUCAGGAGACGUGUCAGGAAAUCGCGGCCACGUCAGCGCCCUUUGCUGACGAAGCAUAUAUGUUUGACUAAAAAAAAUAUAAAAAACUCAAAUUAUCAAGUGAACUAAGCUCGGUAUAUCACUACUUAAUCUGUGCAACUCAGAACUCUAAUCAAGUUUUUUUAAUUUAUAAAUGUAUUUUUAAUAUGUUGAUAUUAAUCGAAUUUGAACUAAGCUUCGAAUAAAACAUUUCAAAAUGAACUUCUCAUCUCGACUUGAUUACAACCUUACCUUAAUCGCAUUUUUUUUUCAAAUAUAUCUAUGUUAUGAGUUUGUUUUUCUUGACCAAACUAAGUCGCGUUGCAAAAACUCACAAACAUUUGAAUUUUAUUUUCGUCAAACAAGUUCAUUUAAUAAAAAAAAAGUUUAAUUGAGUGAAUAAUAAUAAUUGGUGGAUUAUAAAAAGUCAACUUGCCAUGUUCGUUGAAAAAUGAGCGGCAAGUGGGAACACAAAACACUGGUCAACUAAGUCAGCUCUCAUUUAAAAAACAAUAAUAAUAAGGGUAAACUACACCCAUGGUCACUUUUGUUUACCUUAGGUUACGUUUUAGUCACUUAUGUUUGAAAUGUUACGUUUUAGUCAUUUACGUUAUCAUGUUGUAACAUUUUAGCCACUGAGCCAUUAAUCGUCGUUAAUGGUGUAACGGUAAGCUGACAUGGCACGUUAAAUCAUCAUUUCAAACAAAAUUUUAGGUUAAAUUAUACAAUUGAUCCCCAUAUUUUUUUUUGUUUUAAGUAAUUUAAUUUUUUUUCUUUUAUGUUCUUUAAACUUUCCUCUUUUUUUCCAUUCUCUUUUGUUUCUCCCUCUGUUUUCAUACCUUUCCCAUUUCUUUUAACAUAUUAGGAAGUCGAAUUGGCAAUGAACAAAAAAGUAGGAAGUCGACUGUCAUCAUUUGCCUAUAACCAAAACCCAUAAACCCAUACCAUGCUUCUUUUUUCACUACCAAUUCGACUUCCUGGUAUGUUAAAAGAAAUAAAGAAGGUAGAAAAAUAGAGGGAUAAGUAGAAGAGAAUGAAAAAAGAAAGAAAGAAAGAAAGUUAAAAGAACAUAAAAGAAUUAAAUUGCUCAAAAUGAAAAAUUAUGGGGACCAAUUGUAUAAUUUAACUUAAAGUUUUUGUUUGAAAUGAUGAUUUAACGUGCCAUGCCAGCUUACCAUUACACCAUUAACGACAAUUAACGGCUCAGUGACUAAAAUGUUACAACACGAUAACGUAAGUGACUAAAAUGUAACAUUUCAAACAUAAGUAACUGAAAUGUAACCUACGGUAAACAAAAGUGACCAUGGGUGUAGUUUACCCUAAUAAUAAUAAUUUAAGUACGCAAAUUUUUUAAACAGAAUAGAAAAUAUUUAAUUAAUUAGUUCUAUUAAUUACAAUUUAGAUAACGACUUCCAAUUUAUUUUAUAGUUUCUUUUUUCAAAAAUGUAUGUGAUGUGUUUCAAUUUUCAACUCUUUAUUACAAAAUUAACAUGAAUUAAUUAAACUAGUGCGAACUCAAGAUACUGGUCAAUCAAGUCAACAAUUUAUUUUAAAAAUAAUAAUAAAUUACUAAUAAUCAUUAAGUUUUGCAUGUGUAUUUUUUAUAUUCUAUUAAAAUGGUUUUAAAUUUUAAUUAUACUAAUUAAUCUAUAUAAUUUUUCGGAUAUCAUUUAUUUAAAAAAAACUAUAUGACAUUGAAUAUCAGGUUGAAAAAAUAUGUUGUCCGUAUUUUCUUGGACUUGUAAUUAAAGUCAACUAUAUUUGUCACCGACCCCUUUUUCUGUUAAAAAAAAGAGAGAAGUUUUAGAAUUAUAGCUUUUGUUAUAAUUAUAGUAUAAUCAUAAUUAAAUUGUAAUUUAAACCAAAAUAAUUAUAAAAAUAAAAUAUCAUGGAAGUCAUUGUGUUAAGAGUCAAUUUGUAUUUUGUCUCAUUUAUUUAAAAAAUAAUUAAAUUAAUCCCUGUACAAAAUAGAUGAAUUUUUUAGUAGAACGAUCAGAUUAUUCUUUGAUCAAAUGUGCAUUGAUUAAUUUGUCUAUUUUUAAUUAAAAAAAGAUCAAAUACAAUCUGAAUCUUAAUACAAUAACUUCCAUAAUAAUUUUAUUACGGAUAACUAAUACACAAAUGAAAUUCAAGCCUAAAUUAUUAUUGAUAUUUAGAUUGGUUUUAUGGUCCGAAUUAUUAUUAUAUAUACAUAAUUUAUUUGUGGGUAAACUACUAAAAUAGUCACUUUUGUUUAGUUCAUGUUACAUUUUAGUCACUUAUGUUUGAAAUGUUACGUUUUAGUCACUUAUGUUAUCAUGUUGUAAUAUUUUAGUCACUGAGCCGUUAGUUUCUGUUAACGGUGUAACAAUAAGCUGAUGUGGCACGUUAAAUCAUCAUUUCAAACAAAAAUUCUAGGUUAAUUUAUACAAUCGGUCCUCAUAUUUUUUCGUUUGGAGCAAUUUAAUUUUUUUCUUUUAUGUUUUUUUAACUUUCUUUCUUUUCCAUUCUCUUAUGUUUCUCCCUUUGUUUUCCUCCUUUCUCCAUUUCUUUCAACGUAGUUUUCCUAAGUUUUAUUUUUUUGAACAAUUUAAUUUUUUCGAGUGAGGCGAGCUUGUGGACUAGUUACAAAUGGAAAACAUAAAAAAACUAUGUUAAAAGAAAUGAACAAGGGAGGAAACUAGAGGGAGAAGCAGAAAAGAAUGGAAAAAAAAGUUAAAAGAACUUAAAAUAAAAUUUUAAAAUUGUUUAAAAUAAAAAAAUAUAGGGAUCAAUUGUAGAAUUUAACCUAAAAUUUUUGUUUGAAAUUAUAAUUUAACAUGCCACAUCAGCUUACCGUUACACUAUUGUUGGCAAUUAACGACUCAGUGACUAAAAUGUUACAACAUGAUAACGUAAGUGACUAAAACGUAACAUUUCAAACAUAAGUGACUAAUAUGUAACCUAAGUCAAACAAAAGUGACUAUUUUAGUAGUUUACCCUUUAUUUUUAAACAUAUAUUAUUUAAAUUGUUAAAUAAUAAUCCGAACUAUAAAUCAAUUUAAAUUAUGCAACAUAUGAUGUAAGAGUUAAGACCAGAUUCAGACUCAUACAUAGUUUGUUUGCAGUUGCCCUUUUCGGUAAUUUUGCAUUGCCUUCUUUCCCAUUUUAACGAACCUUCUUACCAACUUUUCCUUUUGCCGACAUGUCCCUCCCACAGAUUUCUUUGGCAACCAACGACCACUCUCCAUCUAAAACAAUUUACAUAUGUACUCAGAAUCAAUUUUAAUUUUUAAAUCAAACUAAAAUAAUAAAAUAAAAUUCAUCCACUCUAAUAAUUUAAAUUAAAUUUUACUCUAAACUAAAGGGUUAAUUUUUUUUAAAUUUAUUUUAAUUGAUUAUUAAUACGUAUAAAAAUUAAAAUUUAAUUAUAUUGGGACCAAGAUAAUAUCUAAAUAAAAUACACUUAACAAUAAUGACUUUAAAAUUUUUAUUCAUAAAAUCUAUUACCAUUUCUUCCCAUUAUCUAUGGGUUGAUAUUGAAUCAAAAUUAACAUUGAAAACCAUAUUUAAUAUUUAUUUAAUAUCGAAAUUAUAUUUAAAUUGAUUUAAUUUUGGAUCCACCAUUUGUAUUCCAAACCGAGUGGUGUAAUUUCUUUUUAAUAACAAAUUAUUUUAAAAAUCAUGCGAAAACAGAUAAGUCAAGUCAAUGUCAAAUCUAAUCGCUUAUUGUACCGCGUUCACACCGUCGCUCCAACACGCGCUUCCUUAGACGCAUCUCCAACCGCGUUGGCUACCAUACGUAUAUAUAUAAAUCCCUGCGUUCCCAUCUUCAAUUUCAAUUCAUCUUUGCGUUCAUAUUUCGUCAAACCAAAAAUCAAACCCCAUAAAUUAUUUCAUGGAAAUUGGGUCUUCCCCACUCUUUUCAGCUGAAGUUCUUGCUUAUACCAACACCGGCAUCAUCACCGGCACCGGCGGAGGAGACGGCGACAAGUUUUAUUGGUUUCAGGAUAUGGAAGAUGGCAGGAAAAGAAACAACGAGUUUAUGGAUUUACAUUCUUCGAUUUCGUUAUUCGAUGAUGAAAUGAAGCACGAGCAACUUCAAUGGUUUACUGAUUCUGAUCAAGGAAGAGGAGCUGUUUUUGAAUCGAAUUACAGUGAAACGAAUGAUUAUUUCGAUCAAAUUCAAAGUCAUUACACUGAAAUCGAUGAAUUUGAUGAUUCACGGAAGAAACGAGCGCGAAAAUCAAGUUCACCGGUAUCUGUUCCGGCGACGGAGGAUUCAGGUCCAUCGCAAUCAGGCGGUACAGGACGGCGGUUAUGGGUGAAAGACAGAUCUAAAGACUGGUGGGAGAAGUGCAACCACCCGGAUUUUCCCGACGAGGAAUUCAAACGCGCGUUUCGAAUGAGCAAAUCGACGUUCGAUAUGAUUUGUAAAGAGCUUGAAUCAACGGUGAUGAAAAAGAACACGACGCUCCGCGAUGCGAUCCCGGUUCGUCAACGCGUUGCGGUCUGCAUUUGGCGUUUAGCCACCGGUGAACCGCUCCGAAUGGUAUCAAAACGGUUCGGUUUAGGAAUUUCAACUUGCCAUAAGCUAGUUUUAGAGGUUUGUGCCGCCAUUAAAACUGUUUUAAUGCCUAAAUAUGUCCAAUGGCCCGAUGAAAACAAAUUAACCAAAACCAAAUCGGAGUUCGAAUCCGUCACCGGAAUCCCAAACGUCGCCGGCGCGAUCUACACCACUCACGUCCCGAUCAUCGCUCCAAAAUCCAACGCCGCCGCGUAUUUAAAUAAGAAACAAUCGGAGAAAACCCAAAAACAAUCGUAUUCCAUCACACUCCAAGGUAUCGUAGACCCAACCGGCGUUUUCACUGACGUUUCAAUUGGUUGGCCUGGUUCAAUGUCCAACGAACAAAUCUUCGAGAAAUCGGCGUUUCAUCAAAGCGCCGUUAAAGGCCAAGUAAAAGGUGUUUGGGUAGUCGGAAGUAAAGGGUAUCCAUUAAUGGAUUGGGUUUUAGUCCCUUACGCUCAUCAAAAUCUAACUUGGACUCAACACGCAUUCAAUGAGAAGAUCGAAGAGAUUGAAAAAAUGGGUAAAGAAGCAUUUGCGAGACUGAAAGGAAGAUGGUCGUGUUUGCAGAAAAGGGCUGAAGUUAAGCUACAAGAAUUGCCGGCUGUGCUCGGCGCUUGCUGUGUUUUGCAUAAUAUUUGUGAGCUUCGAAAUGAAGAAAUGGAACCCGAGCUUAAAAUUGAAGUUUCCGAUGAUGAAGUCGUGCCGGAGAAUAAUUUGAGAUCCAUGGUUGCCGUUCAAGCUAGGGAUUAUAUUGCUCAUAAUUUGCUUCACCAUGGCCUUGCCGGUACCGGUUUUCUAUAGUGAUUUCAUUAUAUUAUCCUUGGUUAAAAAAUUUUGUAUUGUUUUUAGUGUAAAGCCCAAUAAUAAUAGGUAGAUAGGUAGAUUUUGAUUGUAUUUUUUGGGGGGUAUGGAAUAAAAAAUUUUAUUCGACUUUUUAGUUAAAUAUUUUUUUUUGACUUUUUUAAUAAAUAAAUUUAAAUUUUGUGGAUUAAAAAAAUAUUGGAAGAACUAAUUUAUUUUCAAAUUAUGUUACAUAAAACGAACCAAUUGACCACUUUCAAUUUAAUAGUUUAUGUUUUGUUGAUUGUAUUGAUAUUUUCUUUAUCAUAAAAAAAUCAUCAAACAAGAUAUUCUCUUCUUCAUUUGACUUGUUAUGAUG
rnacentral:lncRNA from 1 species